rnacentral:lncRNA from 1 species
AGUUUUCAGCGCCGUCCACAGCACCUCGAAGUUCAUUAAGCCACUGGCUCACAUAUUGAUUUGAUGCCUGCUUGUUCUCUGCAUCACUUAGCACAGCCUGAAGGCCAACCAAAGUCGUUUUCAGCCUCCUUAAGAGUCGAGCAUCAUGCUUAUUCUUCUGAAACAUCUUGAGCAGAUCACCAUGAGGGGCAAGCCUAUCAAAGAGAACAUUCAAAGCUGAAGAGAGAAAUGCACCACCAACUGCUAAGCCAAUCUCCAUUUCUGAAAUCUGCAAAGCAAAACGAGGAGCCACAACAAUGGUUUUCAGAAAUCAAAUAUUAACAACUUUAUUUUACCUGUUCGAAUGCUAAGAGUAAUUUGCAAACAAGAAUGAUCAGUGAGUUCUCUCCCUCCCUCCAAUCAAACUAAUACACUUAAAUUGAAACGAAUACAUUACUAUUAGGAAUUAGGCCAAGACAUUGCUAUUGAAAAGUAGUGAAAAGGACUAGAGCAAGGGGACAAAGACAGCACAAGUUGUGCCAAAAGUAAUUGAUGCACUUCAUUUGUCACCAAUCAACCUAUUAGGAAGGAAGGGAUAUCGGAGAGGUCAUUUGGUGGGAGGUAUUAGAAAAAAUAACCCAUGUAUUAGUUCUAUUAUUCAUCCUAUUCAAUAGGAGUAUUAUUUUUAUACAUUAAAAACCAGGACGUUUAAAAUAUGGGGUACUAUUCAUAUUCUUAUACACCCAAUAUUUUUAAUCCAACAAACUAAACAAUCAAUUAAAAGUAACGUCAAUGAUAUAUUCCAGUGAGAUGGUCCUCAAAACUCAAAAUACUCUUCACCGGAAAAUUGUUCAUCGACAAUAUCAUGUACGAACUUUCUCCUCAAGUUUAUACGUGCUCAAACUCAGGUAGACACCCGUAUCCUAUGUAGCGUUUUAGUAUGUAUAAGUGGUAAUUGAUUUGUAUUAUGUCAUAUGUGUGUCUACUUAUUCAGAGUUGGAGGGCGCACAUUCGAGUGAAAGUCAAGUUAAAUGACACGUUUAUGUAUGAGAAAAGUCAUAAUGUAACGACUGAACUUGUCCGAGAUUUUCAAAGAGAUACUUUAACUUUGCGGGCGACCUAUUACCCCCACAAAAUUAAUACAAAUCGUUGUAAAUGGACCAUUUUGACUCAUUUUUUUCCUGUGCGUGUCGUCACGCAUACGACGCGCGUGAUUAAAAAAAUGACUGCAGGCACCAAUUAAAAAUUGUCACGCGUAAUUAAAUUUAUCAAUUAUUUAAAAUCUCUUCUUCUCCUCUCUUGGCUCAGCGGUAAGCUUGCUUACCGUGGUGUGCCAGGGUCGGGGGUUCGAAACGCCCCUCCAGCGAAGCUGGGGUGAGGGAGCGUAGGUCAGGCCCGGAGUGGUCCCCCCCCUCCCCGACACCUAUGGAGUAGGUAUGAACCGGGUCGUCCCUUCUCCUCUCUUUAGAACUACCAUGUCCCAAAAUCUCCAUUGUUAUGGCAAUUGAAGCUUUGAAAAAAACGACUAACUCUUUUGUCAAACUCACAUCACAAUCACCACCACCGCUAACAAUCAUUAUAAUAUCAACCAUCACAACUAUCACCACCAUCAACUCCAAAAGGAAAUCAGUCUUUUUGUUUUACAUACAUCAUGCAUCCAUGAGUUUCUCCACUCAUCACACAGCACAAAAUGAAAAGCAUUUCAACUCACAUUGAAAAUCAAAAAAAAAAGUAAGGGUGAGAGGGGCGAUGCAAAAGAAUCAAUCAUACUGAAAUAUUUUGUUAAUUGUAAUUAAUGUAUCAUUUAUAACUUGAUGAAAUGAAUUGGUGCAUAAAGAAAGAACAAGUUACCUGCUUGUUUUGUUGAUCUGUCAAUUUCAAAAUUGAGUCCCUAAAGCUGCAAGAGCAACAAAAACAUACUUCCAGUCUCAAUAUUGAAAUCUUAAGUAGUUGCUUCUUGAUAAAACUACUUUUGCUAAGAAAGUUGAAUAUAAAUUAGAUGCAAAAGAAAGUUCUUUUUUUUGGGGAAUGGUAAGAUAAGAUGCAAAGCAAAACAAAGGAACCACAAAAAUGGUUUUAAGAAUUAUGAGAAGCUAAUGUUUCUAUCUUCAAAUCAAAUAUUUAACAACUUUAUUUUACCUGUUGAAUGCUGAGAGUAACUUGCAAACAAGAAUGAUCAGUAAGUUCUCACCCUCUCUCUUUUGCUAGUGUUCUUACUUGUAAUUGGUACAACAAAGUUUGCUACUAUUAUUAACUACAAUAUACAGCUGACAGUAUAUGACUUUUCAUCCAACAAGAAAGCAAAGACUUCAUAAUAGAGUGGUUUUUUUGACUAUUCAUCACUUUCUAAAUUGAAUAAUUGAGGCAAGAGAGGAAGGGUACUUGUGGGGACCCAAGUGAGGGACUCAAAAAUAGAAUGUAACUUCAUCUUGUCACAUCAAGAAUUUGUUUUAGAACUGUGCAGAAUUGAAUAGACCAAAGUGUGUGUGUAAGCAGAAACUACCAACCUCUACCUACCAUUUAAACUCUGUAGGAUUGUUAAGUGAAGAUUAAUCAAUAAAAUAAAUCUGUUAGAACUAAUACACUUCCUCCGUUCCAAUCUAAGCGUCUUGCUUUCGUUUUGUGAUCUGUUUUAGAAAUAAUGUUUCUUUCCAUAUUUAGUUAGUUUUUUAAUUCUAACAUUCUACACGAAAAGCUUAAGACCAUAAAAUCAUAAAAUUCAAGUUUCCUUUUAUUUUUUAAAAAUCGCAUCCAAUCAAACUAAGAUAUUUAAAUUGAAAUGAACAGUAUUAUUGAGUUAUUGAAAUGAAUUGAAAAGGACUAGAGCAACGGGGCACAAAAGUCCAAGACAGCACAAGUUGUGCCACAAGUAAUUGAUGCACUUCAUUUGUCACCAAUCAACCUAUUAGGAAGGAAGUGAUUUCACAAAAGUCAUUUGAUACGAGGUAUAUUAGAGAAAAUAACACAUAUAUUUUCAAUUCAACAAAUUAAACAAUCAAUUAAAAAUAACGUCAAUGAUAUAGACAAAACUCAAAAUACUCUUCGCAAAAAAAUUGCUCGUCGACAAUAUAAUAUCUUGUUUGAACUUUCUCCUCAAGUUUAUACGUGCUCAAACACAGGUAGACACUCGUAUCCUAUGUAGCUUUCCAGUAUGUACAAGUGGUAACUGAUUUAUACAAUGUCAUAUAUGUAUCUACUUAUUUAGAGUUGGAGGGCGUAUAUUUUAAUAAAAAUCAAGUUAAAUGAUACGUUUAUGUAUUUUUUUUUUUUUUCCCUUUACAAAAAAUAUGACUUUUCACCUUACAAAAUUGAGUAAUUGAAUUUUUCACCUAACGAAAAGGAAAAUUGUCCUUUCUUUUGUAAAGUUUUUAAAAAUUUUCAUGUAUGGUCACAUCAUUAUUAUGAACAUGGGGUGGGGUGACCUCUGUUGGUAUUAUAAUUGAGUUUUUAUGUUAGAAAAAGAAAAUCAUGAGUUCUUCAUAUUUGAUUAAUCUUUCGUAAAAAGUUUUAGACGUUAUAAAUCGAGGUUUUUUCCGUCUACUGUGAUAAAAAAUUUUAAUGCUGAGUAAAUUGUGUAACGUUGUCCCUCUCGAUAUUUUAUAUUCUUUGAAUUGCUCAAUUCUUUUGAUGAAUGUAGGUCGACUGAUCGAAUCACUUUAAAUUAUUGCUUCUCUUUUGGUGUAAUUUUUGCAUGUCUUCUUAUUCAUGGUCUUUUUAGAUUUGCUUCGCUAGCUUCCGCAUGACAUGUGAUUAUUUCGAUCCUAACAAAUGGUAGUGUGAGUAAGGUUCAAAAACUCAUUUUGGCAGCAUCGGUUCUUGUAACGCCCCGAUUUUCUGAACCGAAACGCUACACGGUGCUCAUGACCCCCAAGGACCACAAGCUAACCCAUGACUGAUAUCUGUACCUGUAAACUGCAUAAUAUCUUAUAAAAUAUACGGAAACAUGAACUGUAAGACCAUAAGGUUCAAUACUGAUACAUAUCUGAAAAACAUGGUAUAACAAUAUCAAAAAGAAACAUAAAUACUGAAGUCUUAACAUCUAAUCUGACAUCUAGUUCGAAAGCCUCUAACUGAACUGAAUAAGGAGUUGAAGGAACAUGUCUCCAACUAACUCCGUGAACUGAAAAACUAAUCUGAAAUACUGUAAUAAAGUAAUAAUAAUAUUGUCCUCGAAUGAAGAGGAGCACUGACUGCUGAAAUCUGCAAUGCUACUGCUGCUCUGAAACUCGUGCCUCUGUACCUAUGGCGUCAAAUAAAACACCAUAGUGAGAAUGCGCCAGUACGACUGAAUGUUCUGAGUAUACGAGUGAGGUAGGCUAAAUUCAAAGGGUUUUAUAUGCAUGAACAAUGCUGACUGAUAUGAACGUGAGAAUACAUACAUACANNNNNNNNNNNNNNNNNNNNNNNNNNNNNNNNNNNNNNNNNNNNNNNNNNNNNNNNNNNNNNNNNNNNNNNNNNNNNNNNNNNNNNNNNNNNNNNNNNNNNNNNNNNNNNNNNNNNNNNNNNNNNNNNNNNNNNNNNNNNNNNNNNNNNNNNNNNNNNNNNNNNNNNNNNNNNNNNNNNNNNNNNNNNNNNNNNNNNNNNNNNNNNNNNNNNNNNNNNNNNNNNNNNNNNNNNNNNNNNNNNNNNNNNNNNNNNNNNNNNNNNNNNNNNNNNNNNNNNNNNNNNNNNNNNNNNNNNNNNNNNNNNNNNNNNNNNNNNNNNNNNNNNNNNNNNNNNNNNNNNNNNNNNNNNNNNNNNNNNNNNNNNNNNNNNNNNNNNNNNNNNNNNNNNNNNNNNNNNNNNNNNNNNNNNNNNNNNNNNNNNNNNNNNNNNNNNNNNNNNNNNNNNNNNNNNNNNNNNNNNNNNNNNNNNNNNNNNNNNNNNNNNNNNNNNNNNNNNNNNNNNNNNNNNNNNNNNNNNNNNNNNNNNNNNNNNNNNNNNNNNNNNNNNNNNNNNNNNNNNNNNNNNNNNNNNNNNNNNNNNNNNNNNNNNNNNNNNNNNNNNNNNNNNNNNNNNNNNNNNNNNNNNNNNNNNNNNNNNNNNNNNNNNNNNNNNNNNNNNNNNNNNNNNNNNNNNNNNNNNNNNNNNNNNNNNNNNNNNNNNNNNNNNNNNNNNNNNNNNNNNNNNNNNNNNNNNNNNNNNNNNNNNNNNNNNNNNNNNNNNNNNNNNNNNNNNNNNNNNNNNNNNNNNNNNNNNNNNNNNNNNNNNNNNNNNNNNNNNNNNNNNNNNNNNNNNNNNNNNNNNNNNNNNNNNNNNNNNNNNNNNNNNNNNNNNNNNNNNNNNNNNNNNNNNNNNNNNNNNNNNNNNNNNNNNNNNNNNNNNNNNNNNNNNNNNNNNNNNNNNNNNNNNNNNNNNNNNNNNNNNNNNNNNNNNNNNNNNNNNNNNNNNNNNNNNNNNNNNNNNNNNNNNNNNNNNNNNNNNNNNNNNNNNNNNNNNNNNNNNNNNNNNNNNNNNNNNNNNNNNNNNNNNNNNNNNNNNNNNNNNNNNNNNNNNNNNNNNNNNNNNNNNNNNNNNNNNNNNNNNNNNNNNNNNNNNNNNNNNNNNNNNNNNNNNNNNNNNNNNNNNNNNNNNNNNNNNNNNNNNNNNNNNNNNNNNNNNNNNNNNNNNNNNNNNNNNNNNCAUGGCUCUAGGCACACAGCUAUAUUUUUCGGGUACGAAUACCCCCAGGACUCGAUGGAAUGAAACUGACAUGACUUGACAUACAAGAGUACUUGACCAACAUUAACAAUCCAUAAUAUAGCAUCUACGAGGAAUCCAUAAAUCAUGUGGUUUUCAUAACCGUUUCAUAUAGCUAACAUCAUGGUCAAUUCUAAUAUCAUGACAAGCCAACAACAUAUUCAUAGCACAUUAAUAGUAUAGAAAUCAUCUUGAUCAAGUAGACAUGGUAUAACUUAAGAGACAUGGCAAAAUCUUGGAGCAUGAAGACUAGGUACUUGAUCAUCAUUUAUUCAUUGAGGCACAUUAUCAAACACAUGGUAGGCAUAGCUUUAGCAUGGGAGUNNNNNNNNNNNNNNNNNNNNNNNNNNNNNNNNNNNNNNNNNNNNNNNNNNNNNNNNNNNNNNNNNNNNNNNNNNNNNNNNNNNNNNNNNNNNNNNNNNNNNNNNNNNNNNNNNNNNNNNNNNNNNNNNNNNNNNNNNNNNNNNNNNNNNNNNNNNNNNNNNNNNNNNNNNNNNNNNNNNNNNNNNNNNNNNNNNNNNNNNNNNNNNNNNNNNNNNNNNNNNNNNNNNNNNAAACAACAACCAUCAACAUGUACAUGAUCAUAUCUCAACAAGACAAUCACAAUAUAGUAUUUAAAGCAUGGUUCUUGAACUCCUACGGAUGAAAGGAAUCCGUGGAUGAACACUAUGCAUAUCUUAGUUCUUGAUUUUUGGAAGAUUGACGGAGAGAUUCGUGGAUUUGAGUCUUGAAUUUGGAUUUCCUAUUGAACCCUAGCCUUGUUCUUGAGAGGUUUUUGAGAGAAGAGAGUAUAUUUUGCUGUAAUUGAGCAAAAAUCCCGUGUUUGGGGUAUAUAUAGGGGUGGAGGAUGACCAAAUUACCCCUAAGAAAAAAGAAAAAGAUGAAGUUGUCCCUCUGUUGACAGUUUUGAUAGGCUGUAGUAAAUUGAUCAUAUCUUUAGUCAGAUGUUGGAUUUAUAUGAAACUAAUUUCAUUAGAAAGAAGACUCAAAGAGCUUUCUAUUGAUAUAUAGCAGUUCUCCCAGUUCAUUAUAUACAGGAAGUUAUGAUCAUUUGAAAUUGACCCUGAAAUGCUGGAAAAUAAACUGGGUACAAACGCUAUAAGAGGGCUCCGCGGCUCAAACGCUCACUACUAUAAAAAUUCCAAAACUCACCCGGAAUGUACUAAGAGUUUGAUCGAUCGUAACGCAACUUGAAAAUCCAAAAACGGAGGUCGAAAAGGUCGUCAAAUAAAUCCCCGAAGUUCGGAGGUAUAAGAUGAAACUAAGUGUUUCUAACACUUAGCAAAAUUCUUCUAAGUGUCGGAUUUCCUUAUCAAGCCUUAAGGAGAUGAAUUUGACUUAGGAUUUUUACGGGGCCUUACAGUUCUAGCCGCAACCUAUUUGACUAUAACAAAGAUUUUGAUUUGAGAGAUAAAGAUGGAGAAGAUUAAACUUGUUAAAGACUAUGUGAAGAAAGUAAAACAAAUUUAUUUUGUCAGACAUUUAGAUUUUAGAUCAAGGAGGAGAACCUCUAGAAAAAAAGCUAAAAGGAAGGUGCUACGACUUUUUUUUUUCUUUUUUGGUUCAUUCUUUUUCUAAGAACAAAAAAUUAUUUUUUUGAUUUUGAUUUUAUAAAAAAAAAUUAUCAUGUGUUCUUAGAGAAUGGUGGCGGUCUUUUUUUUUUUUUUUUGUCGAUGAACAAGAUAGCUAUGAUGGAAGGUUUGUUAAUGGAAGAAAUAUUUAGUGGAGAAGAAAGAGAAAAGGAAUAAAAAGAAGGAAAUAAAAGAAUAAAAAAAAAGUAUGUUUUUAGGCUUUUCACACGUUUGUUUUGUGUCUUAAACAUGCAACUUGCCAAGUGUAUGAAAAAUAUCAAAAUGACCCUUCUACAAAUGUUUAAUUGAGUGUUUAGAAAAAUUAUGACCAACUAUAGAUAUGUCCAUGAAUGAUUCAGCCAAAAGAAAAUCAUAAGCUUAUCUUUUCACAUAUCAUAAGGGGUCGUUUGGCAAAGUGUAUAGGAAUAAUGCUGGAGUUUAAAGAAAUUAUGUUGAAUAAGAUGUAUUAGUAAUGCUAAUAUUUGUUAUAGAAACAUCAGGGAGUAAAAAAUAAAAUGACAACCUCAUCUUUUCACAUCUCAUUACAGUGUUACUUGGGCAUGGGUACAAUAGAUAUCUAAUUACCAUAUUGAAAUUUUUUGUUCAACAUACCAAACUACAUUCUUGUAAACAAACUGUUCUAGUAAAUUAAAUUAAAGGUGGCCUUAACAAUGUGUUAGUAGAAACUACCAGUGUCAUGUAAAAAGAAAAAAAAGGAACAACAAUGUCUACUUAUGUUUUAACUCAGUAAUAUUAUUAAGUAAAUAUAGUACAUUAUCAGUUCUGCAACCAUGUGCUCUAUUCUCAAUAUUGACUAUUGGGUCAUGGAAAAUUUAUAACUCCAAAAGUAAUAAAGUUCAAUUGUCACCAAUCAAUCUACCGCAGAAACUUACCUCUCUUAACUAUACACCUAAACCUAAUAAAAUCAAUGGGAAGGGGGUGGGGUGAAUGGGUUGGGGUGGGUGGGGAUGGUUGUUGGGAAGGAAAGAAUUUAGACAUCAUUUGGUAGGAGUAUUAGCUUUGAUACUAUUGAACCCCUUUCCAAGUGUACGAAGAACGUCAAAAUGGCCAAGUCGAACCCUUCUACAGAUGUUUAAACGAGUGUCAAAGUGAAAAGUGGUGUCAACUUUAGACGUGUCGAUGGACCAUUCAGCCAAAAGAAAACCAUAAGCUUUAUGUUUUCAUGAAUAUGUGCAGAAAAUCUUUCCUUCCCCACAACCAUGAUCCCCACCCCCCUUCUCUUCCUAUUGAUUUUUAUUAGGUUUGGGUGUGUAGUCAAGAGGGGUAGGUUUUGAGAAGGACCAAUUACUUUUGGCACAACGUGUGCUGUGUUGGCCCCAUGCUGUAAGUCAUUGUGGAUCCAGCAUCCACCAGCGACUUUCUCAAAAUCCUCUUCGCCUCGCCGGAACUUUGAAGAAGAUGACCGGAAAUAUAUUUUCCCGGCAAAAUAGAAAACUUUACCGCGAAAAUUAGUUUCUACACGGGUGUGUAUACAUAUUUAGUUUUGUACUUAUAAGUAUUUUUGAAGGGCAUAAAUGGCAAUAUGUAUUACUCCCGUUUUAAAAAGAAUGACUUAUUUCUUUUUUAGUCCAUUUCAAAAAUUGAGCUUUUUGUUUUUUGGCUAUACUUUAAUUUCAACUUUUCACGUGACAUGUUUAAGACCACAAGAUUAAAAGAUAUUUUGAUAUAUUUGAUUAAAUUUUAAUUUAAGGCCACAAAAUUUAAAAACGUUCAUUAUUUUCUUAAACUUCGUGUAGCAAAAUCGAUUAUUCUUUUUGAAACGAAGGUUGAGUAUGUUUUUGUUGGUGGAUUUUUUUCGUUUAAAAAAGAUUGACCUCUUUUCUUUUUUCAGUAACUUUUAAAUUUUAACUUUUCACGGGACAUAUUUAAGACCAUAAGAUUGAACGAUAUUUUGGUACAUUUGACAUAUUUUUAAUUUAAGACCAUAGAUUCAAAAGUAUUUUUUAUUUUCUUAAAUUUUGUAUCAAGUCAAACUAGUUAAUUCUUUUUGAAACACCAGAAAUAUCAAUGGUUGUUGGGAAAUAAUAUAUGUGUUAGAUUUGGUGCUAUUUAACCCAUUGUCUGGUAGUGUUUUCAACUUAUACAACUCGUUUAAUAGAGUCUAUUAAAAGACAAAAAAAAUGUAUUCAUUAGUCUUGUGUAUUACUCGUGCCUUAUUUGGUACAUUUUUAGUUAUAUAUUUCAUUGUAUAUUGAGGUGUGUAUUACUAAUAUCUCAAAAUCUAUGACAUUAGUAAUGCGGUGAAUCUUAUGCAAGCAUUAGCACGAUUAAAUAUACAGUUAUCUUCUAAAAAAAUUUCCGCAUUCUUUCCGAUAUAUAUAUGGACGUGGAGAAAACAUGUUCUUUUCUCUUUGAUGGAUUUUGCAUGCUAGAGAAAGGAAACCAUCGUUUUAGGUUAAUUUAAAUUGGGUAGUAUGUAAUAUCACAAGGAUCAAAUUCAUUUUCGGUAGAUUCUUGAACAAUAUGACGACACAUAUAUAUCAAGACUCAUUAAAUUAAUGCGAUCAUAAAAAAUUUCAACAGUACAAAGAAAUAAGAUUAAUUACAUAAUUACAUCACUGAUCUUCUUCGAAAUUUUCAAAAAGACACCUAAACUUUGAAUUUGACCUAUUACCUCAUGAAUCUUUUUUAUUCCGUUGCAAAUACACCAUUUUGUACCUUUGCGUGUAUACACGCACCACAGACGCGUGAAAGGGCUCAAAUUUGAUUUUUUGACCAAUUAAAAGCUGCCACGUGUAAAUAAGUUAAUAUAUAAUUUAUAUUCUUUUUUUUUAAAAAAAUAUUUAUUUUCUUUUUAAAUGUUACCUCGUACCCCCCUCUCUCCCCCCCAACCAUUUUUUCUUCAACACCAUCAAAUCCUCCAUUAAAGCUUCAUUGAAGCUUUUUUUUUUUAAAAAAAAUAAUAUCAUUAAAGCUUCUCAUUUUGUAGUUAAUCAUAUCAUUUAACUACCCAUUAAAGAUCCUCAACACCAUUAAAGUUCCUCCAUAGCUCCUCCAUUAAAGCUCCAAUGAAGUCUUACCUCGCAUUUUUGCCAGAGGAUAUUUCCAUAUGCAUGAAUUGGACCUAGCUUGACUUGAUGUUGAGUUUGUUGUUGAAAAUUCUAAUAUUCAAGACAUAGUUGAUUCUAUAUGUAUUUACAUUAUAGAGGAAAUUAGGUUUCCUGAAGACCCAUUCGACGAUGGGGUAAAACAAGAAAGCCAUUGUCACAUCAACAAAACAAAACACACGAUAGACAUUGAUUGCUAGUAUACAAAGAAGCGAGCCUUAGAACCUUCUGACACGUUUUAAAGUCGUGCGAGCCUAAUCCAAAACCAAAAGCCAACAAUACAAGUUAUCACAUCCAUAGUCUUGAUCGAUGUACCAUCCAACAUGAGAAUUAAGUACCAAUCAAAGCUUCAAUAGCUUUCCCUUCUCGACUUGUCCCUUCUCGACUUGAGCAGAGAUCUUUGAAACUUUUUCACUUCCCAAAUAAUCGUUGAGCAUCAUCAAAACAAUAUGUUCUUUUGUGUGUUCCAUUACACAACUUUUAUUCACAUGUACCUUUGGGUUCCAUUAGAGUUGUGUGCUCCAUCUGCAGCAAAUCAUGCUUCAUAUAUUAUUAUAUUGGGACAGUCUCUUUUGAUAUGAUUCAGGUAAAACUACACUCACAUUCAUUAAAUAAGAACUCUUAACCGAGACAACGAUGGAGACCGUAUAGCAGUCAAUUCCUAAUUAAGACGACUCGAUUCACAUCUUUCUAUUGGAAAUGAAACUUCAAGCAUGGUUGUCAAGGAAGAGAAGAAGAUCAUGGUUUAAUAUAACUUGAAAGGAGUACAAACACUUACUGAUUGAUUUGAGAGGCAAUGCUUUGUGAUUUGUUGGUGCAAUCAAGUGAAAUUUUCUAUUUGGUGGAAAAUUUGAAUGUUUGAACAGCCAAAUCUAUAUGCUGAAUAGUCAACAGUAGUAAAAGAAUUACCUGCAUAAACUUUACAAUUCUGAGAGCAUAGUGUCAUCCUCACCUAUAAUAAACUAGUGGACCUAUUGUAAUUAGGACAACAUAUCAGUUCUGAUAGCUAAUAAAACUGGAUCAUGUAAGUGGUACUAGAAAAUGACUACUUCUAAUUGGUGUUCGAGCUUACAGAAUUUGGGUGGAUCAAAGUGAUUGCAGCGAAGAAUUGAUCUGAAAAAUCCAAUAGCAGGUAUAACCGACCGACAUCCCUGCUUUUGCCAGCAUGACAGCAAGCACUGGCAGAAAGGAGUCAAUUGAAUAAUCAAAGUACCAGUUGCUCCCACUUGUGACCUUUGAGCGUCUUGACACCUUAAUAACAAGGAAGCCCCCCUAUUCCAGAAAUAAGGGAAACACCUUUUGUCGCGUCACAUGAUUACUGAAUGACCGUACCGAGGAAUUCUACCAUACUCCGUGCGCUAUGGUUAUUGGUACUGCAGAUUCUACCCGAAGUUUCAGUCUAGAUUGUAGUCCAGAUAUACCCUAGUGGUCCAUGAAAUGGGUUGAGAACCACAAGGUUCAAAUCUAAACGGAGACAAAAAAACACUAGGUGAUUCUUCCCAUCUGUCCUAACUUUGGGGGACAACGUUACUUGAUAUUUGUUGCUAGUCGGAGUUGGCAGGUAUUCCCUACGUGAAAGCUGACCUGGACACCACAGUUAUCCAAAAAAAAAAAAAAUAUUAUAUUCCAGAUAUUCUGAUCAAAGAGUAGUACUGUCAAAUUCCACACAAAAGAGAAGCACUUCUCUUCGCUUACAGUUUGCUCGUAGACCCCAGUCGAGGUGAUUGUCCUUUCAAGGGAGAAUGCUAGCAUGAUUUUCCUUUCACCAAUUGACCUAAGAGCUUAUUGUUACCAAAAUCCUGAUCAAGAAAAAAAAAGGAAGAUUUAAAAUUUACUAAUAGUGGAAGUUAAGUAAUUCAUUGUUCUAAUGCUUUCAGCUGUUAACCUUUCAUACAACAACAUACCCAGUAUGUUAGCCUUUCGUAUUUUUUUAUAUAUAGGAACCAAAAAUUUUUUACACAUGUACCUUGGAUAUUCUAUUAGAGAUUCUUCAUUUCCGUAGGGCAAUAAGAUUCUACACGUUAUCAAAGCACAAGGGUGAACAUGUGCAGCUCUAAACCGCAUCCUCUUUGCUCAAGUAACUGGAAAAGGGGAAAAAACAAGAAUCAUUUGAUGAAAAACAUCAAGUAAUGCAUGAACUAGCCAGGCGUAUUCGCAGCGAUACGCCUAUUUCAUCUCUAGAUUUUUCAAAUAAAAAAUGAGUCGAAUUUCAAAAGACCUAUACAUCCAGGGCUGACAUAUCAAUGUAUUGUGAAUGAUAAAAAGGCUUCUAAUUUGUUUAUAUUUCAUUUUGCUAUGAACUGUAAAAACCAAGAGACAGUAUUUGGGAAUUUUCUUCUCCUUAUAUUCCUUGCCAAUCACAUUUAUUUAUAUAAGCUAAUGGAAGGGAAAGAACCUUCUAUUCUAAGCUAGACAAUGAAAGAGAUCAUUCAGCUAUAGUUAGACGAUUCAAUGGUUGUUGGGCAAUGUUCUUGUUUGCUACUGAAUUGCUGUUGGGCCGCUUAUUUGUUGUUUGUUUAUAAAACCCAAAUGUGAUAAUUAGAGUAGGAGGAGGACAAGUGCAGUUGAACUAGAACUAGCUUGACGUUGAGUUUGUUGUUGAAAAUUCUGAUAUUCAAGACAUCGUUAAUUCUAUAUGUAAUUAUAUGAUAGAGGAAGGCAGGUUUCUUUACCCUGAAGAUCCAUUCGACGGGGUAAAACAAGAAUUUAGGGAGUUGGUAGGUGGAUUGAAAAUUAUGACAGUGGGCAAAGUAUUAUUGAAGAAGAAUAUCAAAAGAUCUUAUUAGUUACAAACUAUUUAACGAUAAAUUAGUAUUAAACUUCGUAGCUAGAUCCUAUUUUUUUCUUUUUUAUUUUGUAGUGAGCAUAGAAAUUAGAAAGUGAUUAUACUCUCUAAAAACUAUUUUUGAUUGCACAGUUUCUGACAGUUCAUGCUCUUCCCUGCGAUUCCAAGAAUUGAUGGAUUUAACACAACGAAGACAAGAUUGGACAACUCCUACAAUGACAGCGGUUCAUUGUAGGAGUAAAGUAAGGAAAUAACGAAUAUCAUGUUUUUUUUUUUUUACUAUAUAAAAAUGGAUCCUAAUUAACUGAAUUCCGAGUAAAGUAAUUAUGAUAUGUCAUAUAUCGCUCACAUGCAAUUUCUAAUGCUGACGAAGCUAGAAGAACAGAGCAAUGUCAAGGAAGCAAGCUGUUAAUUCAUCUCUGAUAUCACUGGUUUAACGAUUAAUCAAGAACUGAAGGUUUCUCGAUUGUUAAACAUCUCACAUAGAUUUAUAUAAUACACAAAUAGACACUUGUAUUUGCACGAAAUUCGGUUCCUAGUCCCCAACUCUAUGAGUUCUCAUUCAGACAUUUGGCAUAGCUGUAAUAUCAUAACUUUUAACUUCAUUUCCAAUGCAAAUCAAUGCUGAUUUUCAAGUCAACAUUCAUCAAUCAUUAGUAUUACCUAUCAAAUGUCAUGUUGUUGAAUUGUCGAAGAUCCAUGAAUAAAGCUACUUAAUGAAAAAAAGAACGGUGUUUGAAAAUCUUCUUUCAACUUUUCUUUUUUUUGCUUUCCAAGUUUGAUGCAGUUUUCUUACAUUGAAAAAGCAAAGUAUACCUCAUUGUGCAUUAGAUAUUUUUUUUUUCCGACAAUUCACGAAAUGAUUGAACAACUCCUGCAAUGAUAACAACAAACUGAAACUUCAAGCAAAGAGAAAAAAUGUAAAACACCCAAAAAAUUUAGCAUUACACCCAAGCUUAUAUUUUUAUGACCUUUUUAAAAAAAGUGAAAUAUGUUUCCCAAACACAAAACUUUACCCAAAACUUCACCCAAUAGCUUAACAAGGGAAAAUAAUUAACAAACAAGCAUCGGGGAGUAAUAAGCAAAACUUAAAAGCUACUGAGGAAACAGAAAAACUUACAUCUGCGGGAGCUUCGUUUUUAUUAAUCAUCACAGGCAUUCGCUUUCACCUAUUGAGACGCGGAUAUAUAUUUCAGGAAUAUGAGCAAUUUUUGGCCAGUACUCCCCCUUGUCAAAUUUUAUGAGUGGUUCGAUCAAUGGGCAACUGGCAAUAUUUAGUUCAGAGAGGGAAGAGGGCAUCCCUUUUACUGGAAGUGAUUGGAGAUUAGGGCAAUUCUCGAUGAUCAGCUUAGAGAGGGAGGAGGGAAACACUGAUUCUGCAAGAGAUUGGAGUUGAGGGCAAUUGCUGAUAAAUAGACUUUGAAGCGGAGUGAGGUGCUGAAGACCUUCGGUCGGUAGUGAGUGGAGCUCAUCAUGGUCAUAUAAACAUAGCUUAGAAAGAGAGGAGGGAAGCCCUUCUUCCAGAAGUGACUGAACUUGAAGUAAAUUAAAAGUCCGCAGGGAUUCAAGAGAGGUGAGGCUGUUGAGAACUUGACUGCUUAAUGUUUUCAGAUUGCCUAUGGUAAGCCUUCGAAUAGAGCAAGGCAACUCCCAAUUCUCACCACCAACAAUCUCUUCGUCACUGCCAUUGUGGAAGAUGUACAACUCUCUGAGAGACAGGAGUCUCUGUAAACGCCACUCCUUUCGGCCGUUCACCAGCUUCUCGCAAUCCCUGAUGUCAAGGAUUUGUAAAUUGAAGGGCAAUCCUCCAUCAGGAAAGGACUCCAUUUCUGGACAAUUGCAGAGUCGCAGUUCCUUAAGAGAUGGAAGGAGUUCCUGCAUACGUUCUGGCAGCCGCUUCAGCUUUUUGCAAUCUUCCAUACUCAAUGACGUCAUCUGGGUCCCACAUGCCACCGAAGAAAGUAGUAAUUCAAGAUUCUCACAGCAAUAAAUAUAGAGUCUUUCAGUCCCAUUAGGAAUCAAAAACCUAGUAAGGUUUUGGCAUCUCAGUACCCUCAAAUAGCGUGCUCUUGGGACCAACUCAGGUGAUGAUAUAGAAUCACAUUCAUCCAGUUUCAAUUCCCCCAGAAACAUGUUAGAAUUCAUCUUACUACUAUCUGGUGCCUCCAAUUUCAAUUUCCGGCAAAGACGUAUCCUUAUUCUCUUCAACGUACUCGGCAGAGUGCUAAUAGGCAAGGAGGUAAGAGAGUUGCAACCACUAAUAUAUAAUUCCUCAAUCUGCUUCAUUCCCUCAAGUUGGGAGGUAAACAGUUUAGCUUCAUCAAAGACAACUCCAGCCUUAGGAGAACCAUCAACAUGAAACCAUUUUAGACUUGAAAGUUGGAUGGGUGUCUCCAAAUUGAGUUCAGGACAUCUUGAGAUUCUCAAAUUCGUCAGAGAACAGAGAUUCUCAGGGAACUUCCCAACCAACUUGGGGCAAUCAUAAAUGAAAAGGUUCCGAAGUGCUUGAAACUCUCCGUUCCCUAGUACGUCCCACCGCUUCCACUCUGGCAUCUUUGCAAAUUUAAGCUCCUUGAGAGAGUUUAAAGGCUUUUCAGAGGACAGACUACCAUAGAAGUUCUCCGUUAUAUCUGUUAUCGAAUGCAUCUCUCUAAUGGAAAGGAAUUUCAAACGAGGAAGUUGUCCUAGUGCAGGCAAGGAAAAACAGUCCUUGCAGUUGCUAAGAGACAAUCGUACUAGCAGCUUAAGAAACGAAUGAUCAGCUAGCCAGUUUGGAAAUUGUGUCCCUCUAUAUCCGGAGAUUUGGAGUUCUUUUAUGUUUGUGUGUGGGCAUAGCUCAUCAAGUAUGUCUCUUUCGGUUUGUGAAUUGUCUGCAUCACUUCCACUCCACUCCAACGAUAACUUCUCAACAUGAUUCUUCUUCUCAUCCCUCAUCUUCGCCUUCUGAGCUUCCCUUCUAUCAACCACAUUUUCCAACUCUAAAACUGACAGAGAUCCAUACAAGUAAGAUGCUUCACCCAAAUCUUCCAUUCUCCAAACACCUAGAAGAAACUUGGCUCCAACUUGCACUUGGAGGCUUUUCAACUUGCUCAGAUCUAGCGGCAUCUUCAAGAGAGAAGUGUCGCUAAUGUCAAGAUGACACAGGUUGAUCAAAUUUUCCAUCUGCAGCGGUAGCUCCUCAAAAUUUGUACAAGAUGACAGGAUAAGUGUCUCCAAGUUAUACAAUGCACAUAUGGAAUCUGGCAAUUUUUUAAUCUUUGUCCGAGAAAAGUCCAAAAAUCUCAGGAGCUUUAAUUUGAUAAACAAAGCAUCCGGCAACUCCACAAUCUCAUAACGUGACAAUGAUAAUGCCCUUAAAGAUGUUAGCCUUGGCAGUAUGUUAUGCAGCACCCUCUUGCUUAGCGUGGGGCGGUAAAGGAGCUGGAUUUCUAUUGGAAGCAAUGUCCUCAGCUGCUCUGACUUGGAAAGCCGAUUCAAUUUCUUAAAGUCACCACCUUUUCCCAUUGAAUAGGACAAGUGCCAACUUUGUUCCAGCAUAUGACAUCCUUGGCAAUCUUCCAACCUGACACAAAGUUUUGAAGAUGCAUUUUGGGCCAAAUCAUUGACAAGAUCAUGCAUUAAGAAUUUCCCUCCAUCUCUUUCAGAAGACUCUGGGACCCUUUCAAACAAUGAUCUUGAUCUCAACUCUUUAAAGUAUUCGUUACCAGAAUGCAACUUCUGUACAAGACCAUUAGCAAUCCACAAGAAAAUAACUUGCUCUUUGCAAAAUUGAUAAUCUUUAGGAUAGAUAGCACAAAAAGCAAAACAUUGCUUCAAAUGUGCAGGAAGAUCAUUGUAGCUCAAUAUCAACGCUGGUAAUACGUCAUUCAGAGUCUGCUCCCAUAUUUCACUUCUUAAAAUGUCUUUCCACCCAUCCACCUCUGAUUUGCAGCAUAAAAUACCAGCAAUUGCCUUUAGAGCUAAAGGCAAUCCUUUGCACUUGUCUGCAAUUUUCUUUCCAACCUCUUCAAGUUCUGGAUGUUCCUCGGGAUCCCUGUUUUUUAAUGAAUGCUGUUUGAAUAAAGCCCAAGAGGCUUCAUCAGACAGAGUCCCCACGUUGAUUGCCCCACUAUCCAUCAUCCCGGCAACAUUCUCCUUACGUGUAGUUACAAUGAUCUUACUUCCCAUAGCUCCUUCUACAAAAAGAUUUCGCAAGUCAUCCCACUCAUUAGAGUCAUCAUUCCACACGUCAUCAAGGACAACAAGAAAUCUUUUUCCCUUUAGGCUUUCCUUCAAUUUUACCUGUAGCUGAUUAAGAUUGUUGUCAUCCUUUAAGUCAAAUGAUCCAAUUUCUUGAAGUAACCCUUUAGUUAUUCUGAAAGCAUCAUAUGCCUCAGAAACACAAAACCAAGCUUUCAAGCCAAAAUGACCUGUCACCUUCUUAUCGUUGUAAACAAUUUUAGCAAGUGUUGUCUUGCCCACGCCCCCCAUUCCAACAAUAGGGACAAUAGUCAGAUUUUCUCCAUUUGAAUCACUUGACAAUAAACGGUCAAUCAAUCGCUCUUUUUCAAUCAUUCUACCAAGGAUUUUAGAUUCAUCGACCAAAGAAGUUGAAGGUGUUCUAGUUUCUAGUUUCUUACCCAAAUCUAAAUGCUUCUGUAAGCCGAGGUCACCGAUUUGCUUUUGCAAAUCCUCCAAUGUUUCAAUGGUUUCUUCCAACUUCUCCUUUAUAUUGAGAAAAUAAUCAUCACUCAAGUUCAGUUUGAGGUCACUUACUUGCUGGUUGCUUGUUUCUGCAAGAUUUUGAUGCCGACCUUCCACCUUAAGCCUCAAAGCCUCAUAAUUGACUUGUUCCAUUAAGUUUUCAGCGCCGUCCACAGCACCUCGAAGUUCAUUAAGCCACUGGCUCACAUAUUGAUUUGAUGCCUGCUUGUUCUCUGCAUCACUUAGCACAGCCUGAAGGCCAACCAAAGUCGUUUUCAGCCUCCGUAAGAGUCGAACAUCAUGCUUAUUCUUCCGAAACAUGUUGAGCAGAUCACCAUGAGGGGCAAGCCUAUCAAAGAGAACAUUCAAAGCUGAAGACAGAAAUGCACCACCAACUGCUAAGCCAAUCUCCAUUUCUGAAAUCUACAAAGCAAAACGAGGAGCCACAAAAAUGGUUUUCAGAAAUCAAAUAUUAACAAUUUUAUUUUACCUGUUCGAAUGCUAAGAGUAAUUUGCAAACAAGAAUGAUCAGUAAUUUGCAAAUAUCAUGCAGUGCGGUGCGGGUGCGGUGCGGGUUUUUACUAAAUCCGCAAGUUUUAAAACCGCACCGCACCGCAUUGCAUGAUAUUUAAACCCGCAUAAACCCGCUCCACAUUCAUACCGACGGAUAAUCGCACCGCACCGCCCCAUAUUUUUAAUUUUUUUCCUUUUUUUUGAAAAAUUUGUAACUCUAUUGAAAAUCAUAAUAUUUUCAAAUUUACAACUAUAAAAUAACAAUUAAUUUCUAUUAUAGCACUUUUCACUAAAAAAUUAUCAAAAAGUAUAACGUGUACAAAUAAUGAUCAAAUAUCAUAUUUUUAUUCAAAUGAAUAGAGAUGUUAAAAAAGCUAGUAUAAAAUUAUUUAUUUGUAGUGUUAUGCAUUUAGUUUUAAGUAUCAUAAAAUUUAAGUAAAGAACACAUAUAAUUUUAGGUAUAUUCACGAGAACAAUAUUAAUUUUUAGCUUUUUUGUUAUUUUAAACCUGCAUAUACCCGCAACCCGCACCACACCAUUUUAAAAAAAAAUUACUUUAACCUGGCAUCCGCAUCGUACCGCAUAACUUAAAACCCGCACCGCACCGCAUAGCUUAAAACCCGCACCACACCGCACCCGCACCGCCCCAUUGCCAUUCCUACUCACGCCAUUCUCAUUUUCUACAUCAACUACAUGAAUAUAUUAUUAUUUAUAUACAUUAACCCAUUGAAAUGAAUGAUUAUCUUAUUUUCUAUUUCUUUUGCAUUUCUUGGGGAGGAUAAAUGGGGUGAUUCACGUGAGAUCCAAUGUAGAUCGAACUUUUGAUUCACUCGUGGGAUCCGGGCAGUCGGGGGGGACACCAUGGCUCCUCUCUUCUCGAGAAUUCAUACAUCCCUUAUUAAUGUAUGGACAGCUAUCUCACGAGCACAGGUUUAGGUUCAGCCUCAAUUGGAAAAUAAAAUGGAGCACUUAACAACGCACCUUCACAGAUCAAGAACUUCGAGAUCACCUCUUUCAUUCUGGGAUGACAGAGGGAUUGUACCAUUCGAGCCGUUUUUUUCUUGACUCGCUUUUCCUUCUUGUUGCUGGAUAUCUCGUUCGUGGCUACAAUCAUCUUUUUGUCACAUCGCCUCCUUACCAUAUCUAUUGUAGUCCCACAAAAGGAGUUUGGAGAUAGUAAGUUUAUACGCAGAUUUUUCUCCUACCUUACAGACAGUAAACUGUUUUCGAUAAAUUCUUGACUUCAACCACUACCAUCACUACAAUCUAUUUCUACUAACAACCAUUUACACUAUCACAGCUAAUUGCGUCUUCAAUUACUACCAACGCAUUGUCAAACAUCGUACAUUCACUGUUCAACCAUAGCAAUCAAUAUCUACAAAACUACCAUCCACCAACUUCACAUCACAAUCACCACCACCGUUAAUAGUCAUUAUAAUACCAACCAUCUUUGUCAUCACAACUAUCACCACCAACAUUACUAGUCACUAACAUCAAUCAUUACCACCAUCACCACCAGUACAAACCAUCUCCACUAUCACUAGCAAACAUAAAUAUUUUAUUUCAAUCAAAUAAUAAUUCUGUUGUACUAAUUCCAAUAUUUUUUUAAUAUAUUAUUAAUUUUUAUUUAAAUUAUAUUUUUUUAUUAUAUAUUCAAAUAAAUAAAUUUUGCACAUUCAGAUAUCGAAAAACAAACUGUCUUAAUAAUAUAGUUUUCAGAUCUAUACACAACAUCUUAUUCAUUCAAAUUCAGACGUCUAAAUCAUAAUAAAAACAAAUGCAGCCUUAAUAGUCAAAUUUUCUCACUAGGGCGUUUUGCUAAUUGGAAACUUCAAGAGGCUUAGUAACCAAAUUUUCUCAUUAAUUAUAUAAAAUAAUAAUCUCAUCUUUCACAUCUCAUAACAGUGUUACUUGGGCAUGGGUACAGUAGAUAUCUAAUUACCAUAUUGAAAUUUUUGUUCAACAUACCAAACUACAUUCUUCUAAACAAACUGUUCCAGUAAAUUAAAUUAAAGGUGGCCUUAACAAUGUGUUAGUAGGAACUACCAGUGUCAUGUAAAAAGAAAAAAAAGAACUACAAUAUCUACUUAUGUUUUAACUCAGUAAUAUUAUUAAGUAAAUAUAGUACAUCAGUUCUGCAACCAUGUGCUCUAUUCUCAAUAUUGACUAUUGGGUCAUGGAAAAGUUGUACCAAAAGUAAUAUCAUGAUUGAGUUCGAAAUCAAGAGGGCGUCACGCAAAAGCUUAAAGCUUGCAAACCAUAGAGAUGAUGAAUCAGAUGACAAAAAAAAAACAUACUAAAAAUAUACUAUUAAUACUGUUUGGUCAAAAUUGUUAAUUCUAAUUAUGAUAGAAAAUCAAAUAAAAUAAAAAAUUCAAGACAAAUUCUAACAUUGUGCCUAAUCAAAUUAAGACACCUGAGUUAAAAUGAAUAAAAUAUUAUUGAAUUAUUGAAACGUAGUGAAAAGGACAUGGGCCACAGUAGUCCAGGACAAGACAAGUUGUGCCAAAAGUAAUUGAUGCACUUCAUUUGUCACCAAUCAACCUAUUAGGAAGGAAGGGAUUUUGGAGAGGUCGUUUGGUGUGAGGUAUUAGAGAAAAUAACACAUGUAUUAGUUGUAUUAUUUUUAUACCUUAUAAACCAUGACGUUUAUAAUAUGGGGUACUAUUCAUAUUUUUAUACAAUAUAUUUUUAAUCCAACAAACUAAACAAUCAAUUAAAAAUAACGUCAAUGCUAUAGGCAAAACUCAAAAUACUCUUUGCCAGAAAAUUGCUCGUCGACAAUAUCAUGUCCAAGCUUUCUCCAUACGUGCUCAAACUCAGGUAGCAAGGGCAGAGCCAGCCUUCUGUUCGGGGGUUCGGUCGAACCCCGUUCGACGGAAAAAUAUACUAUUUAUACAUGAUUAAAAUUAAUUUUGAUGUGGUUAUAGUAGGUGUUGAACCUUCUUCGACUAAGUUUUCUUUAAAUAUGGAACCCCCUUAGUUGAAAUUCUAAGUUUUCUUUGAAUAUAGAACCCUCUUCGUUGAAAUUCUGACUCCGCCUCUAUAAGGUAGACACAUAUAUCUUAUGUAGCGUUCUAGUAUGUACAAGUGAUAACUGAUUUGUAUUAUGUCACAUAUGUGCCUAUUUAUUCGGAAUUGGAAGGCGUACAUUCUAGUGAAAGUCAAGUUAAUUUGAUAUUAUAUUUCUAUCAAAUAGUUGAAUUGAUAUUAUUCAUAUAUAUAUAUAUGAACUCUAUUUAUAAGGAAAGGGUGUUUACUUCUUGAGAAAGUGUGACUUAAAUUCAUAUUUAUGACUUCUUCUAUUGUUGAGUUGGUUAAAUAUUGUUAUUUAAUAAUUUAAGUAAAUUUUUUUAUUUUCUUUAUAUAGGUCUACAUGUUUUGCAUUUAUAAACAACUAAUAAACGGACGUGAAUCAAUUGUUUUAAAUUUCACAAUCAAUAAAAUAAUAAAAAAUAUCAAUAUGUCAAAUUAAUAAGAUAACAGUAUUUAGAAUUUUUUGUUCUCUAAAACUUUUCGCGCAUCGGGCGGGAACGCAUACUAGUUUAUUAAUAAAAGUAAUGAUAUCUAAAUUAAUGAAUUAUAGUAAAAGCAUUUCAACUCACAUUGAAAAUCAAAAAAAGUAAGGGGGAGAGGGGCGAUGCAAAAGAACCAAUCAUACUGAAAUAUUUUGUUAAUUGUAAUUAAUAUACUGAACUGGUGCAUAAAGCAAGAACAAGUUACCUGCUUGUUUUGUGUGAUGUCUCAAUUUCAAAAUUGAGUCCCUAAAGUUGUAAGGGCAACAAAAAUAUACUUUCAGUCUCAAUAUUGAAAUCUCAGGUAGUCCUAUGAUUAGGCUUAAUGAGCUUCGAAAUGCUUAUAUUAGGAUAAGUUGUCUACAUCACAUCCAUUGCGGUGCAGCCCUUCCUCAUACCCUGCGGGAUGCCUUGUGCACCGGUCUGCCAUUUAAGAAUAGGUUAAAUUGCCGAGUGUCAAUCACGGCUUAUAAAAUUCGGAUCAUGAAUUAGUACUAUCACAUUUUUCCUUAUGAUUAGUGUUUUUCUCAAAAUAGCCAUAGUUUUACCUAUUCAAUUUGAAGACUAAUAUGCAAACAAGAAUGGUCGAAGUAUACCAACUGUGUGCUUUAGUUUAACUUUUCUCUUUUCUAAAAGUAUUGACUCAUAAAACCAAAGACUAAUUGAAUAAUUGAGGCAAUAAAGGAAGGUACCUUUUGCUUUAUGUCUAUUCAUUAAUUUUGCUUUUUGAAUUAUUUCUCCAUUUUUUAAAAGCACAUUGUAGUGCUUAAUUGGGCCUACCAUUCAAUGAAUGUGUUUUAGAAUUGUGAAGAACUGGAAUCUGUUCAAUUUUCCUUCACUCCAUUAUUAUUUUUCCUAUAUUCAACAACAACAAUAGCAUACUCAGUAAAAUCUCGCAAGUGGAGUCUGGGAAGGAUGGAUUGUACGCGGAAACUUUACCACUACCUCGUGAAUGAUCAGUGAGUUCUCUCCCUCUCUCUUUUGCAAGUGUUCUUACUUGUAAUUGGUACAACAAUGAUUGCUACAAUCUGCUAUUACCAAAAAGUAUGACUUUUCAUCCAACAAGAAGACAAAGACUUCAUGAUAGAGUGUUUUUUUUUUUUUUUGACUAUUGAUCACUUAGUUGAAUAAUUGAGGCAAGAAAGGAAGGGUACUUGUUGGGUGUAAUAAGAGGGGUAACCAAGUGAGGGACUCAAAAAUAAACUGUAGUAGACAAAACUGUAAUUUAUCAUUUUCUUUAAUUAUUAGUUAAUUGUAUUAGGUUAAUAUAGUUUACUUUUCCUUCCUUAUCAAAUAUGGUAAAAACUGUUAAAGUAAGUAACGCUUUAGUUGUGCCAAAAGUAAUUGAUGCACUUCAUUUGUUACCAAUCACCAAACAAACAAUGAUUGGCGACAAUUGAACUUUAUCAAUUACUUUUGGCACAACUUAUACUGUCUUGGUCUUCUGUGGGCUGUGUAGACUGUAGUCCUUUCCACUACUUUUCAAUAAUCCAAUAGUCAAUAUAGAUGGCUGCAGAAUUGAUGUAUUCCCUCCGUUUCAAUAUAAGUAUUUUAGUUUGAUUAGGCACAAUGUUUAAAACAUAAAAAGGAGAUUUCUGAAUUUUACGAUCUGAAAUUGAUGAUGUGUAUAGUCUUUAAAAUAUUGCGGUCUUAAGUUUUUCAUGUAGAAUGUUGGAAUUGAAAAACAAACUAAAUAUAUAAAGAAACAUUCUUUUUAAAACAAACCACGAAACGAAAGUAAGACACUCGAAUUGGAACAAAUCUCAAACUUGUAUUAAUGGUGAUAUUUUUGUUCUUGAGGAUGAGAAUGAAUUCCAUAAAAUUCCAAUUACAAUGAUACUACCAUUUUCAGAAAAUUCGUAGAAAUAUGAGUCAAAAUUGUCACUGUAUGUAAAUGUUCAUAUCUAGGAUAAGUAACUUGUUUUUCUUACUUUGAAUCAAGAAAUCGAGUUCGUUGUACUUACUGUCAUAUUUUCAGAAAACUAGUCAUAUAUAAUAAGAGUCGAAAUUUUCACGGCGUUCUAGAUAUAAAUGUGAGUAUUUAGAUAUAUAACUUGUUUUUCUUACUUUGGAUCAAGAAUGAUAAAGAUUAUAAGAAACGAAAUUGAGUUCGUUGUACUCAUAUUUUCACAAAAUUCGUCGUAAUGAGUCGAAAUUUACGCAACAUUCUAGGUUUAAAUGUUCAUAUUUAGAUUUAUAUAUAACUUGUUUUUCUUACUUUGGAUCAAGAACGAUAAAAGAUUAUAAGUAACGAAACCGUGGCCUUUGUACUUCUUGUCAUAUUUUCAGAAAAUUCAUAGUAAUUGAUGCACUUCAUUUGUCACCAAUCACCAAACAAACAAACAGUGAUUGGUGACAAUUGAACUUUAUCAAUUACUUUUGGCAUAAUUUAUACUGUCUUGGUCUUCUGUGGGCUCAGUAGACUGUAGUCCUUUUCAAUAACCCAAUAGUCAAUAUAGACGGCUGCAGAAACGAUAUAUUCCCACCAUUUCAAUUUUAGUUUGAUUGGGAACGAUGUUUAAGGAGAUUUCUGAAUUUUAUGAUCUAAGUUUGAAAUUUAGUAAAUGAAAUAAUAAGAGGAGGAGGACAAGUGCAGUUGCAGCAGAUGGAUAUUUCCAUAUGCAUGAACUAGAACUAUAGCUCGACUUGACGUUGAGUUUGUUGUUGAAAAUUCUGAUAUUCAAGACAUAGUUGAUUCUAUAUGUAAUUACAUUAUAGAGGAAUUCAGGUUUCCUGAAGACCCAUUCGACGACGGGGCAAAACAAGAAAGCCAUUGUCACAUCAACAAAACAAAACACAGGAGAGACAUUGAUUGUUACUAUACAAAGAAGCGAGCCUUAGACCCUUGUGACACAUUUUUACAGUCGUACGAGCCUAAUUAUCCAAAGCCAACAUUACAAGUUAUCACAUCCACAGUCUUGAUGUACCGUCCAACAUGGGAAUAAGUACCACUCAAAAGCUUCAAUAGCUUGCCCUUCUCGACUUGAGCAGAGAUCUUUGAAACUUUUCACUUCCCAAAUAAUCAUUGAGCAUCGUCAAAACAAUAUGUUCUUUUGUGUGUUCCAUUAAACAACUUUUAUUCACAUGUACCUUUGGGUUCCAUUAGAGUUGUAUGCUCCAUCUGCAGCAAAUCAUGCUUCAUAUAUAUCAAGCAAGCCAAAAUAGAUAGUUGUUCGACUUGGAAAAUCGCAACCUCCUUACUCAAAGAAAACCUAACUGAAAGCAAAUUAAAAAAAAAAAGAAAUAUUAGAGCAUGCUAACAAGCACGGACUGACAGAAAGGAGUCAAUUGAAUGAUUGAAGUACCAGUUGAUUCCACUUGUGACCUUCGAGCGUCUUGACACCUUAAUAACAAGGAAGCCCCCCUAUUCCAGAAAUAGGGGAAACACCUUUCGUCGAGCCACACGAUUCCUGAAUGACCGUACCGAGGAAUUCUACCAUACUCCGUGCGCUAUGGUUGUUGAUACUGCAGAGUCUACCCGAAGGUUCAGUCUAGAUUGUAGUCCAGAUAUACACCCAAGGUUUCCCAGAUUCAAACCUAAGCAGAGACAAAAAACACUAGGUGAUUCUUCUCAUCUGUCCUAGCCUUGGCCUUGGGGGAAAAAGUUACUUGAUAUCUGUUACUGGUGGGAAGUGGCAGGUAUCCCGUGGAUUUAGUCGAGGUGCGCGAAAGCUGGCCUGGACACCACGGUUAUCCAACAACUAAAAAAAUUGUGGUCCAGAUAUUCUGAUCAAAGAGUAAUACUGUCAAAUUCCACACAAAAGAGAAGCACUUCUCUUCACUUACAGUUUGCUCGCAGACCACAGUCGAGGUGAUUGUCCUUUCAAGGGAGAAUGUUAGCACGAUUUUCCUUUCACCAGUUGAGCUAAGAGCAUAUUGUUACCAGAAUCCUGAUCAAGAAAAAAAAAAGGAAGAUUUAAAACUCGCUAACAGUUGAAGCCAGGUAAUUCAUUGUUCUAAUGCUUUCAGAUGUUAACCUUUCAUACAACAACAGCAACAUACCCAGUGUAUUCCCACCAAGUGGGGUUUGGGGGAUGUUAGCCUUGCGUAUUUUUUAUAUAGGAACCAGAAUUUUCUUCCACGUGUACCUUGGAUCUUCUAUUAGAGACUCUGCAUUUCCGGAGGACAAUAAGAUUUUACUCGUUAUCAAAGCACAAGGGUGAACAGGAGCAGCUCUAAACCGCAUCCACCUUUCUCAAGUAACUGGAGAAGGGGAAAAAACAAGAAUCAUUUGAUGAAACGUCAAGUAAUGCAUGAACUAGGCAGGCGAAUUCGCAGCGGUACAUCUAUUUUAUCUGUAGCUUUUUCAAAUAAAAAAUGACUCAUAUUUCAAAAGACAUACAUUCGGGGCUGACAUAUCAACGUACUGUGAGUGAUAAAAAGGCUUCAAAUUUGUUUAUGUUACAUUUUGCUAUGAACUUUCCUAGAUAAAAUUAUUACUCCUGUUUCCUACCUAAAUUAGGUCUUUUUCUCUCAUGAUGUAUAAAAAUUUCUGUAGUUGCAACGUGCUACUUUAUGUCAAUUUUCAUGUUGAUCUCAAGAUGCUUCCUCAGCUUCACAGUGGCAAUAGACGCUACACGCUGCUCAACAAGAUUGGAGAUUACGUCAAUGAUAUAUAAGCAGCUCAAAGAUUGAACAACUCCUACAAUGACAACGAACUGUCAUUGUGCACAUCUUAGCGGUUCUGCAAAUUGAUUGAGCACCGAAUGUAUGAUUGCCCCAAGUUGGUUGGGAACUGUCAUUGGUCACCUCGGCUUACAGAGGUAUUUCGAUUCGGGUAAGAAACUAGAAAGUAGAACUUCAACUUCUGUGGUUGAAUCUGAUGUCUUUGGUAGGCAGAAUGAAAAGAAGGAAUUGAUUGACCGUUUAACAUCUAAGGAGGCAAGUGAAAAAAAUCUGACUGUUGUCCCUAUUGUUGGAAUGGGGGGCAUGGGCAAGACAACACUUGCUAAAGCUGCUUACAAUGAUGAGAAGGUGCAAAGCCAUUUUAAUUGGACAGCUUGGUUUUGUGUGUCUGAGCCAUAUGAUGCUUUCAGAAUAACAAAAGGGUUACUUCAAGAUAUGGGCUCAUUUGACUUAAAGGAUGACAAUAAUCUUAAUCGGUUACAAGUCAAAUUAAAGGAAAAACUAAAUGGAAAAAGAUUUCUCAUUGUUCUAGAUGAUGUAUGGAAUGAAAAAUACAACGAGUGGGAUGAAUUGAGGAAUAUUUUUGUUGACGGAAACAUUGGAAGUAAGAUCGUCGUGAUGACACGUAAAGAGAGUGUUGCCUUGAUGAUGGGUAGUGGGGCAAUCAACGUGCGGACUUUGUCUGAUGAAGCCUCUUGGGCUUUAUUCAGACGACAUUCGUUAGAAAACAGGGAUCCUAUGGAACAUCCGGAACUUGAAGAGGUCGGAAAACAAAUUGCAGCUAAGUGCAAAGGACUUCCCUUAGCUCUGAAGACGCUCGCUGGCAUGUUACGCUCCAAAUCAGAAAUUGAAGGGUGGAGACGUAUUUUGAGAAGUGAAAUGUGGAAGCUGCCUAACAAUGACAUAUUACCAGCAUUGAUGUUGAGCUACAAUGAACUUCCCCCACACUUAAAGCCAUGUUUUUCCUUUUGUGCAAUAUUUCCUAAAGAUUAUCCAUUUAGGAAAGAGCAAGUUAUUCAUCUGUGGAUUGCUAAUGGUCUUGUAGAACAACAGGGAGAUGAAAGAAUUCAAGAUUUAGGCAACCAAUACUUUGACGAGUUGAGAUCAAGAUCGUUGUUCGAAAGGGUCCCAAAGUCUUCUGAAAGAGAUGGAGGGAAAUUCUUAAUGCAUGAUCUUGUCAAUGAUUUGGCCCAAACUGCAUCUUCAAUACUUUGUGUCAGGUUGGAAGAUUGCCAAGGAUCUCAUAUGCUGGAACAAAGUCGGCACUUGUCCUAUUCAAUGGGAGAAGGUGGUGACUUUAAGAAAUUGAAUCGGCUUUCCAAGUCAGAGCAGCUGAGGACAUUGCUUCCAAUACAAAUCCAGAGCCUUUUCCACCCUAGGCUAAGCAAGAGGGUGCUGCAUAACAUACUGCCAAGGCUAACAUCUUUAAGGGAAUUAUCAUUGUCAUGUUAUGAGAUUGUGGAGUUGCCGGAUGCUUUGUUUAUCAAAUUAAAGCUCCUGAGAUUUUUGGUCCUUUCUCGGACAGAGAUUAAAAAAUUGCCAGAUUCCAUAUUUGCAUUGUAUAACUUGGAGACACUUAUUGUGUCAUCUUGUACAAAUCUUGAGGAGGUACCGCUGCAGAUGGAAAAUUUGAUCAACCUGUGUCAUCUUGACAUUAGCGACACUUCUCUCUUGAAGAUGCCGCUCCAUCUGAGCAAGUUGAAAAGCCUCCAAGUGCUAGUUGGAGCCAAGUUUCUUCUAGGUGGUUGGAGAAUGGAAGAUUUGGGUGUGGCAUCUUACUUGUAUGGAUCUCUGUCAGUUUUAGAGUUGGAAAAUGUGGUUGAUAGAAGGGAAGCUCAGAAGGCGAAGAUGAGGGAUGAGAAGAAGAAUCAUGUUGAGAAGUUAUCGUUGGAGAGGACUACUAUGGUAGUCCGUCCUCCGAAAAGCCUUUUAACUCUCUGGAGGAGCUUGAAUUUGCAAAGAUGCCGGAGUGGAAGCAGUGGGACGUACUAGGGAACGGAGAGUUUCCUGCUCUUCGGAACCUAAGCCUUUUAUGAUUGCCCCAAUUUGGUUGGGAACAAUUAUAGUUGGGAUAUCGGAGAGGUCGUUUGGUGCGAGGUAUUAGAAAAAAUAACCCAUGUAUUAGUUGUAUUAUUCAUCUUAUUCAAUAGGAGUAUUAUUUUUAUACAUUAUAAACCAUGACGUUUAUAAUAUGGGGUACUAUUCAUAUUCUUAUACACCCAAUAUUUUCAAUCCAACAAACUAAACAAUCAAUUAAAAGUAAUGUCAAUGAUAUAUUCCAGCGAGAUGGUCCUCAAAACUCAAAAUACUCUACGCCAAAAAAUUGUUCAUCGACAAUAUCAUGUCCGAACUUUCUCCUCAAGUUUAUGCGUGCUCAAACAAGUAGACACCCGUAUCCUAUGUAGCGUUUUAGUUUGUAUAAGCGGUAAUUGAUUUGUAUUAUAAUACCAACCUCUAUUUUUCAUGGAAAGUAGUACAAGGAGAAGAGAAACACGAAGCUCUUUACAACAAAAAAUGGUGGAAAAAAGGAACAUGGAAAUGUAACUAUGGUGGGAAAAGAAAUCGGAAGAUAUUUUGAGGGGUAAAUUUGUCAUUUAAUAAGUUAAUGCAUGUGUUAAAAUGCUUUGUAUUAUUAAUACUAGAAAAGGAUGGUAUUAUUAAUACAUAGCUUAACACAUAAUUGAGUGCAUACCAAAUGCAAGCAUUAAUUAUGCAUAGACCAAAAGAAUGAAGCAAACCAGAGAUUAACAGUGCACAAGAAUAAUGCAUGCAUUAUUUUCGAUAACACACUCUACCAAACGACCCUAAUUGUAUUAAUUAUACGCCAUAUACCAUUCUAUUUUUAUACAUGGUAAGUCAUAACAUUAACAAUACAGGGUACUAUUUCAAUUCUAAUACAACUUAUUUGGUAUUAUUUUUAUUCUUAGACACCCCACUCAUUUAAUACAACUAGUUUAGCAUGCACGCACGUGUAUCAAAUAUUUAUUAAUAAAAGUAAUGAUAGUAUAUGUUUUGAUAUCUAACUAAUAAAUUAUAGUAAAAUAUCUAAAUGACGACAACAUACCCAAUGUAAUCCAACACUUGCACACUUUUGACUAAGUGAAUUAUUUAAUAGUGACUUAUGUAGAUGGCAAAAAUAUUAUUUGGAUCUCAAAUUUCUCUAUUGAUAUUAAAUAAAAUAUUUUAAAUUAGUUGACCAAAUUCAAUAUAGACAGACCUCACACCUACACUUUGUAUCGACACGACACGAACGUCGCAUAGAGUCUUUUUGCUUUACAUACAUCAUGCAUCCAUGGGUUUUCCACUCAUCACAAGAGUACAAAAUGAAAAGCAUUUCAACUCACAUCGAAAAUCAAAAAGAGUAAGGGGGAGAGGGGCGAUGCAAAAGAAUCAAGCAUACUGAAAUAUUUUGUUAAUUGUAAUUAAUAUACUGAACUGGUGCAUAAAGCAAGAACAAGUUACCUGCUUGUCUUGUGUGAUCUGUCGAUUUCAAAAUUGAGUCCCUAAAGCUGUAAGGGCAACAAAAACAUACUUUCAGUCUCAAUAUUGAAAUCUCAAGUAGUUGUUCCUUGAUAAAACAAAGCCAAAAAUUGAAAAUUGAAUAUACAUUACAUGCAAAAGAAAGUUCUUUUUUAUGGAGAAUGGUGAGAUAAGAUGCAAAGAAAAACAAAGGAGCCACAAAAAUGGUUUUAAGAAUUUUGAGAAGAUAAAUGUUUCUAUCUUCAAAUCAAAUAUUUAACAACUUUAUUUUACCUGUUGAAUGCUAAGACUAAAUUGCAAACAAGGAUGAUCAGUGAGUUCUCUUCCUCUCUCUUUUGCUACUGUUCUUACUUGUAAUUGGUACAACAAUGUUUAUUAUUAUUAACUACAAUCUACUCUUAUCAAAAAGUUUGACUGUUCAUCAAACAAGAAGACAAAGACUUGAUAAUAGAGUCUGCUUUAUACUAUUCAUUACUUUCUAAAUUCAAUAAUUGAGGAAAGAGAGGAAGGGGACUUGAGGGGCCCAAGUGGUUAUCUUUACACAUCUUCUGCUGUCCAAAUUUUGGUAGAGAGAAGGAUAAGUGAAGAUAAUGGUGGAUAUGUUCUCUGUAACUGUAGAUUAUUCUUUUCUCUUCUCAUAAAAUGAAAUUAAUAGUCCUAUGAAUAGGCUUAAUGAGCUUCGAAAUGCUUGCAUUAGGAUAGGUUUCCUACAUCACACCCAUUGCGGUGCGGCCCUUCCCCAUACCCUGACCUGUGGGAUGCCUUGUGCACCGGUUUGCCGUUUAAGAAAGGGUUAAACUGCCAAGUGUCGGUAACGGUCUAUAAGAUUCGGAUCAUGAAUCUUAUCUAUAAGGGGUUAAAACACGUAACUACUUAUCUAUAAGGGACAAAUUAAUUUUAGAAACCAAAAGUGCUAAGCUAUUUUCAAUCAGCUAACUCGAUAAACUCUUAAUUUAUUUGCUGUUUUUAAGAGACGAAAAUGAUGCUUAUGCUUCAUACACAACAUCUCGAAGCUCAAUAAGCCAUUAGCUCAUGUAUGAAUUUGAUGCCUGCUUAUUCUCUGUGUCACUUAGCACAGCUUUGAAGGCCAAGCAAGGUCAACUCUAAGGGCAAAAUAGGAAAUCACAAACUGGUCAAGAAUUUUAAGAUAGUGUUUUUAUCUCAAAAUAGCCUUAGUUUUACCUAUUCAAUGCUAAGACUAAUGGGAAUACAAGAAUGAUUAGAGUAUACCGACUUAGUGCUUUAGCUAAAGUUUCCUCUUUUCAAAAAGUAAGUGAACUGCUUCAGAUUACUGAGGACAUGACCCUAGACAGGAAGGUGUGGAGGUCGCGGAUUAGGGUAGACGGCUAGGGUGAGUGUGUAGGUAAUCGCUAGGUGAUAGGGGAGUUUGGGUGUGGCGGGUGUUUAGGCCUGUUACAACCACAUGGGUAUCUAUGUUCUUAUUUCAUAUUCCGUAUUUUUCGUAUUUCUCUUAUUACCCAUUUCUCUGAGACUUAGUGUUCUUAUUUUUUAUCUCUUAUUUCUGUUAUGCUAUACAACCUGUUUCAUGACUUAUUACGACCUUGGUAUACUAUUCUCUAUCUUGAGCUGAGGGUCUAUUGGAAACAACCUCUCUACUUCCUCGGAGGUAGUGGUAUGGACUGCGUACAUUUUACCCUUCCCAGACCUCACUUUGUGGGAAUAUACUGGGUCUCUUGUUGUAUGUUUUAGAAUUGUUUGAACUCGAAUUAUUUUUUCUAUGUUCAACAAAGGUAGAGUAUAUGGAGAACUUACCACUACCUCAUGGAGGUAGAGAGGUUGUUUUUAAAAGAUCCUCAGCUCAAGUACAAAGAAGAUAGAAAUAGUGAAGAAAAACAUAACAACUAACAAGGGAAGCAGUGCAAAGCCUAUAAGAGAGGAACACAAACAACACAAAAAAUAAAAUAGUGCGAUAAUCAAAACACAAUAAACAAAAAAUGACGAUAGAUAUCAAAAGAAAGAGCUACAAUAAUAUGGCUUGUAUAACGACAAACAACAACAAGCCUAAACCCUCGAAUUGUAGUGCUUAAUUGGGCCUAAUAAUACACCGUAUUCUUUUAAUACAACAACAUACAUAAUACAUAGUGAAAUCCCACAAGUAAGGUCUGGAGAGCGUAAAGUAUACGCAAAACUUAUCACUACCUUAGUGAGGUAGAACAGUUGUUUUCGAAAAACCCUCGGUAAAGAAAAUAUAGCAACUAACAAGCAAAUAGUGCGAUAAAAAUAAUGCUAGCGUAACAAAUUUCAGCAGUAUUAAUAUACCUCAUUCAUUACUAUUUUUAUUCAAUAAAUUUCUAAUUAAUUGAUUUUAUUCGUAGAUAACUAAUCUCGAUACUAUUAUUCCAUUCUCAAGCAAUUCAGUUCAAUUAUGUCGAUACUAAUUACUAAUUCUGAUAUAAUUUAUAGCGGAAUUAAUAACCAAACAAGGAAUAAGACAUUACCAAAAUCGCUUUUCCUUGCCAGUAAACUGUAAGAAUCCAUUGAGAUGAUCCUCUAAACUCAAAAACCCUCUUAGCCGGAAUUUUGAAGAAGAUGACCGGAAAUUUUCUAUUUUUUCUAUUUUUCCGGCGAAAUAGAAAAUUUUCCCGCCAAAGUUAAUUUCUACACCCCCGUCAGUGAUGACUGAUUUGUAUUAUAACACUUACACGUGUGUGUAUAUAUAUUUAAUUCUGCACUUAAUAAAAGGGUGGUUGAAUUGGCUUAUCUUUUAAGUAUUUUUAUUUUUAAAUGUAUUUGGUACUAUUUAAUCAUUGUUUGGUAGUGUUUUCAACUUAUAUAAUAAUUUGUUAGAGUGUAUUAAAAAAAUAAUAAAUUUAUUAGUCUUGUGUAUUAUUAGUAUUUUGUUUGAUAUAUUUGUAGUUAUCACUCUAUUGUGUGUAUCAAAGUGUGUAUUAUUAAUAUCUUUACAUUUAUGACAUCAGUAAUACAUUGAAUCUAGUGCAAGUAUUAGAAUUAUUAAAGAUACAAUUAUCUCCUAAAAAAUUCUCCCCAUAUAUAUAUAUAUAUUUAUGGAGGGUAUUUGGAAGAUAGUGGUGGAGAAAACAUUUUCUUUUCUUUUUGAUGGAUUUUGCAUUCUAGAGAAAGGAAAUCAUUGUUUUAGAUUACUUUAAACUGGGUAGUAUGUAGUACCACAAAGAUCAAAUUCAUUAUCGGUGAAUUCUUGAACAAUAUGAUGACACAUACAUAUCAAGGCUCAUUAAGUUAGAGUGAUUAUCAAAAAUUUCAAAGACAAAGAAUCACCACUCCAAAUAAAAGUAUCACCGUAUGUUGUAACUCUUUUGGCUGAAAAAGACGUUGGAUUACGAAUUAUUUAUAUCUAUUUUAUUCCUUAGUAGAUGCUGCAAUCGCUCAUAUUUAAGAGAUAAUGGAUGCACUUGCAAUACUACAGGCGAUCGAUUAUAUUUUACAAAACCAACUUCAUGUAAAACAUAACCACCCCAAUAUAAACUUAGUCUUACUGAAUCCUCUUGUCCCAUUUGGUUUUUUUCAACAUUCAUUAUCCCUUUUGAUAUUUUUGCUCCAAAAAUUAACCCUUUGAGCUCCGGACUCAUAGCAUGUUUGGUUUAGCAACAGAACACUGAGAACUGCUGUACACUGGAUAUGAUUGUAGAAUAAUGUAGAAUUGUUUUGUGAUUGCUCUGUGGUGAAUGGUUUAGCUUUCUAACUUUAAAAGGUAGACAUUUAGCAUUAACCUUAGCAUUUUCAAGUCUUCAAGUGGGGCUCUAUUGACCACCUACGACCUUGGCUUUUUUGAGAAUCUCGCUCUUGUGUCAUGAGACUUGUAGCUCGGUACUUGUGUAUCCUUCCAACUACGAGUGUCUCUUGUUUUUGUGCAUACACAUGUAAGACGUGGUUCGUCUAACUCAACUAUUCUAAUACACGACUUUUGUGACUGCGAUGAGAGUAUGGAGCGAAAGGCCCUUUUUCUCUCUUCAUUUUCUACUUACCAACGGGCAAGUUUGCGCACAAACACAAUCUCUCAUUGCCAACUAAAACUGAUGAGAAGGGUGUACCGGCUUCAUGAAUACAAUAGACGGUCUAUUGUAUGCAGCCUUACCUUGCAUUUCUGCCAGAGUCGGUUUCCACGGUUCGAACACAUGGCAGCAACUUUACUAGUUAAUACGAGACUCCCUUUCAAUGUUACCAAUCAAAACGAAAAGAAAAAAGCAGUAGAAUUUUGUGAACAGAAAAGAUGCACUAUCUACUCAAAACUGAACUUAUGCUAUUAUCACAUUUGGCUGCAUAACCAUUUACAUAAUUUGGUGUUGAUAUCCUCAUCUUUAUCAACUUUUGGUAUAACCUCCAAUUUCUGUGGUGUACUGCCAGUCACAUCCUUGCCAACUUCAUGAAGACGGGACGGAUAUAUUUUCGGUUAUUUCUCUGGAGGCUACAAAAUGAGGCUGAGGAACCAGGUAGAAUCAUUCUCCCAGAGAAACUACUAUUAACACAUGUUACAUUUGAUUUUCCAUCCAAAAGAAGAAAGAAUCAUAUAACCUUGUUUAAUUGACUCCUGCUGCUAUAUGCCAUCCGUUUCGAGUAAAUUACAUUUUUGGCAAGAAUCAUAUGCAAUAAUCUUCACAAGGGACCCAACUUUUUGAGGCUUCCCAACAUUUUCGUCAUCGUAUUGAGACUGUAAACUGGCAUUCUUCCUUGUAUACCAAGUGAUGAAGCAAGACAGCAACAAUGAAGUCUUAUUUUUUCUGGAAAGUUAUCAAUAACAAAAAUGCUACGCAGCGACUGAUAACGCCAAGAAGGAUGAGUUUUAGUAAGCAAGGGUACCAAUGAUCAAGCGCGAAGCCUCUUUUCAUUAGUACACCACAUCUUGUGAUCAGCCACACCCCAGAGUACCUAAACGUCAGGAAAAUGAAAAUGAAGAGGGUAAAAAAAAAAGAAUAUAUCAACAUGUGACUUCUUAAAUCCCAAAAUAUGAGGUGCAUUUGAUAGUCAACAGCUGAUCGUGGCUAAUGAUUACGUAGAAGGCUAGUAAUAGGAAGUUUAGCGUUUUGCUUUUCGUUACCAGUAGUAUUAGUAUUAUUAUUUCCGUAUUUCUCAUUCCUACUUUUCUAUUACAACUUGCUGUCUCGUAUGCUUCGGUUUUCUUACUAUCUUGCUGUUGUUACUGCUUAUGUUUCCUUAAAUGCUGUGAUUAUGCUUUCCUUGAGCUAAGGGUCUAUUCGAGACAACCUCACCUGCACCCAAAGUAGGGUAAGGUCGUGUACACUCUACUGUCUCCAUAACGCCACUUGUGGGAUUACACUGGGUUGGGUAUCGCAAUUGUUGUUGUCGUUCUAAAUUUCAGCAAGUAUUUGUUAGCAAGGUAAAUCCUAAUGCAAGAAGAAUUUAGACACAAUGAAGAAGGAUUCACCAGACCUUCUAGCAUUUGCAAUUGUAAAUGCUUCCAAGGCCCACUUUGAAUAGAUAUAAUCUCCUACUAUCGCAGUGAACUUACUGUCCUUGCUUGGUACAAGGGUCAAGACAACUGGAAGCAACACCGACCACUGAAAGACACAUCAGUUUGUUAGUAGAGAAUUGCGGCAAUAGAGGAUAACGUUUGGAGUUGAUAUGUAUUGUAUGAUCAAAGUACCGAGUACACACCAGUUGAGCCUGACCAGGUUCAAAGUAGAUGGCAAGUGCAUAAGCUAUCCCAGUAACACAAUAUACAACACAAAGCAAGACGAGAUAGUAAUCCAAAAUUGAAGAUCUUGGAUUGUUGAAGAAGUAGAACAUUGAUAGAUAAACUGCAGGCUUUACAAUAGUAUUGAUAUGAUCAACGGUAUCUUUAGCCAUAAAGUAUGCCAAACUGCUCAUGCCAGAUGCACUCUCUCUCCAGUAGUGUAAUUUAUCUAGAGAAAAUGACCUCAAAGACGCAAUCUUGAUGAGAAGAGCUGCAAAACAUUUUGGAAGGUAAGAACUUAGGUAAAGUGAAAAAUGGUAAUGAAGAUAUAUGAAACUAACAGUAACAAUCUUUCAUAUAAGUUUGUAAAACCAUAAAAAGAUACAAUACCAAAAUAAGUACUACGCGCAGGUCUAGGGAAGGGCCUGACCACAGGGAUCUAGUGUACGCAGCCUCACUUUACAUUUCUACAAGGGAUUGUUUCCAAGGCUUGAACCCGUGAUCUCCUGGUCACAUGGCAGCAACUUACCAGUUACUCCAAGGCUCCCCUUCAACUCAUUAUUGGUACCAACAUUUACGAAUUGUUAGCAUUAAGAAAGAAGCGGAAUUACAAGUGAUAACAUCGAGAUGAAGUGCAUGAUUUUAAAAUCUGGAACUUUUUCUCCUAAAUUUGCAAACAUAGCUAAUCAACUGUCUUUAAGUCAUCAGUCCUCUUAAAGAUAAAAUGCUGAAGUAUAUACACUGUUCAGUGGUUUUGAACUUACGAACUGCAAUGACGGUGUAAAGGUACCCCAUAAAUCCAAAUGAUUCAUCACUCAUGUCAGCAAGUGUUCUCAAACAGAUUCCAGCAAGUAACAGAAUAAGACAAUCAACUGCUUGUAGCCUGGCUUCUCGCAAUCGCUGCUUCCCGACUCUGACAAUGUGAAGUAUCAUAGAUGUCAACCAUCAAAACAAAUGCAAACGCAAAAACAUUUGUAUAUCAACUAAAACUUUCACAUGAAUACCCCCCCCUAAGUGUCCAUGGAAGCAGCCUCACCUUAAAUUUCUGCAAGGGGCUGUUUCCACGGCUUGAACGCGUGACCUCCUGGUCACACGGAAGCAACUUUACCAGUUACUCCAAGGCUCCCCUUCAUAUAAAAGAAAGAAGUACAACGGAGAGUUGCCAAACAUUUGCAUAUAGGACUGCAAGCAUGAAUUAAACACAUACACACACACAUCUUGAAAAAUAAUUAGAUGGUAUACAAGUGAAAAGGAGAGAAACUUAUUAUUACCUUACAAGGAAAUACUUAUAUUGAAGCAAUACACCAGGGGUUUUCCGAUGGGACAAGUCCGACCAUGCCAAAAAGUUGAAUCUCAUGCGGUCCUUCUUCUGUGCAACAUUGGAUUUGAUAUCUGACCACAGAUCUCCAGAUUGAUCGGAAGUAGCAGCCGCAGGACUUGCUCCAUCAGCUGAAUUUUCUCCAACCGAAGAUGCUUGUGAUCCAGAAGAAUCUAGCGUAUCUGGUGGUAUGGGGUAUCCGUUAUGAAUCAUCCAUCUAACAGGAAGAUCUUUAUAGUUCAGUCCUGUGCUCGGGAGUUUAUAAAUUCCUUCUAAAAUAUCAAUGAAAUGAUCUGGAGGAUUAACGCGAUCAGGUACAGUAAUUCCAAUGCCUGCAAAGUACUCUUCAACUGUCUUUACUGGUCCAUGAUAUACGGUAAGGCCGCCCUUGGCUAGAAGUACCAAAUCGUCAAACAUUCUGAACAAAGAAUAGCUGAAAAAGGAAGUGAUUACUGAGAUAGGGUGUCAAAAUUAAAGCGAUUUGAAAGAUCAUCGUUAUGCUGGAGGAAAAACUACUUAAAGUUAUAUGAUUAUAAUUCCACAUGUUUUGUGAUUGCAAUAUGUUCAAUGAGUGCGAGGACAAACAAAAAGAUAAAGCAAUAGAUAAAAGACAACAUGAUAACCACCAAGGAAUGCAAAUGGAAGAAGAUGAAUAGAGUAAGACCAAAAAGACUUAGAGGCUAUCAUUCGCAACAUUACCUUGGCUGGUGCACCACCAUGCAUACGUUCACUCCUUCAAUAGCUUCCCGACGAGUAGCUCUGAGUAACAAUUGAGAUGAAGAGCUAUCCAAACCAGAAGUUGGUUCAUCUAAGAUUAACAAAGAAGGUUCCAUAACCAUUUCCCGCCCAACGUUGACUCUCUUCCUCUGACCCCCAGAGAUGCCUCGCUUCUCCACUGUCCCCACGAGAGAAUCUCUCACAGGUUGCAAUCCCAGGGACUCUAUCACUCUUUCAACAACUAAAACCUUUUCUGGUUUAGGCAAAUCAGAUGCCAGUCUGGAAGAGUGAUUCAACAAAGAAGAGUAGACUAGAGUCAGUCGUCAUAUGAAUAUAGUAGUAUCGAAAAAACAGCAGGCUAACAAGUGAAAGCAGUAGCAAAAAAGCAAACUAACUUCCUUUUGUAUAAUAUAAGCUGGUCAUAUCUCUGCCUAGUUUGUGUUUUGACAACAAUAGAUGGCACGGAGGUUUCAGACCCUCACAUGAAUACUUCGAAAGUUUCAUUGACAAGUGUCAGUCAGUGGUUCCUGAUAAUAAGGGUAUGCAUGUAGCAGUCCAGAGUACGAAGGAAAAAGAAAUGCAUGACCUUUCCAAAGAACAAACUACUGGAAGCUGUCACCACCAAAACGUAGACUGAUGGUUGAAGUCAUGAAACUUAUGAAGUAAAAGAAUGCCAUGCGAAAAAUGAUGUUAUAUGAAUGCAUAGAUUCGUAAUAAUAGAACUACAAUAGCAUACCUGCACCGAGCACUAAACCAAAGAUUCUCCUCCACAGUUAAAUUUUCAUGUACUAUGUCAUCUUGAGGUACAAAGCCAAUGAUUUUCUUGUAUGACUGCACUGGUUCAGGCUUCCCAUUUAUGAGAAUCACUCCGAUCACGGUACACCCAGCAGCCUUCCCAGUCAAUGCAGAAAGAAACGUUGUCUUUCCAGCACCAGAUGGACCCAUAACAGCCGAAACACGGCCAGGUGAUAAUUUCCCUGAUACACACCUCAAUAGAUGCUUGGUUUUACCCUUCAAAGUAAGUGUCAAAUCUUUGAAACACACCUCAAUAGGAGGUCUAGUUCUAAUCUCAAUAGCACUUGCCAUCGAGAUUACACCAGAAAAUGUCAAAUCCUUAUUCUGCUCCUGCAAUGCUUUUUCUUUCUCAAUUUGACCAUACGCAUAUUUAAAGAAGAAGCAAGUUAUCGGAGAAGCUUGUUGGUUAGUUGUAACUUGUUAGAGAUGAAAAUCUUAAAAAAAAGGGCAGCGUGGUGCACUAAAGCUACCGCUAUUCACGGUGUCCGGGGAAGGGCUCCACCACAAGGGUGUAUUGUACGCAGUCUUACCUUGCAUUUCUACCAAGCUGUUUCCAAGGCUUGAACCCGUGACCUCCUGGUCACAUGGCAGCAACUUUACCAGCCUUAGCUUACGAGAAGAAAAUGUAAAAUGUUAUAUCUCGUGCGAUCUGUCCUUCUUUUGGGUUCAGUUAUGUUGUUUAUGCAGCCGUUACUCUACUAUUAUUUGAAAAAGAUAAGUAGAAAUUAUGUCCAGACUAAUCCCUCCCAUUUCCUCCUCCUUCUGUAAGGAAACAGCGGACAUUAGCUAAAGACAAAUCUGUUCUUUCUGUCAUGCAUUUCUCACUUUACUUCUCCCGCGUCAAGCCUAAAAAGUUUAAGACAUGCACGACCAUACUAGCUAACAAUCCAGGAACAUUAUGACAUUAUCUCAAAAGUAAAACCUUAUAUAGAUAAUCAAUAUUUGCACAGCCUAGGAGUGAGGAGAUGACUUACAAAAAACAUAAUACCAUAAGCUGUGAUAUUUUGAUUACUUGACUUUGAUUCACAAAUAGCUAACUUAUAGCAGCCUGCAUGUCCAUAAUAAUAGAUAAAUUCUUGAUCACGAUGAUGAUGAUGAUGGCAAUGUUAGAGCAUAAAAUAUUUCCAAAAAUAGAAAAGAACAUGUAGUGAGUUGUUACUUGAUACUAUAACUUUUCAUCUUGACGUAUUAUCUUCAAGUUACAAAUAACACAUAUUCAGUAACAUGACAACUAUAAGAUGUACCAUCUUUCUCAUAGUAGAGAAGAACGCGAGGCACAUCCCACUACCAAAAUAGUAAUCUUGUUAACGUGGAUGUCCAACAUGCUCUUAUCUUGAUACGUCUUGCUCAUUUCUAGUAAGAAUUAUUGGAUAUGCAUCUAGCAUAUUUUAACAGUACUAGAAACCUAGGCAAAGAAGACAAUUGGAUAUAGUUUUCCUUUUUGUAUUUCACUUGGAACCUGACAAGCUGCUACGUCACGCCAAGGAGAUUUCUUUUUUCCAGUGUGUGUGUGUGUUCUUUUUCCUUUCGUAUUUUGCUUUAGAAAUAUGGUAAAAGUGAGACAACACAACCAAACAGGCAUUUUUACUAGUACGAUAUAUCUAAAAGGAUCAAAUAAGUCAUUAUUACGUGUUUAUUCAAAGUCAAAGAUAAGAAAUGAAGCAACAAAGAACCUAAUACAGAGACAAAACAGACUGUCACAUGAGAUGAAGACUUACUUGUUUGAGACGUAGAACCAGUUCUACAGUAAUGCCUGGAAAAAAAGCAAAAACAAACAGUAUGAUAAGCGAAUGGAUUAGCAUGAGCUUCUAAUAUGAGCAAAAGGAUGAACAAGUUAAACAGAAAUAGCAUUUUGCGGGGAAAGAGAAAGCACGGUGAGAUACAUAUUCUCCGGUUUUGGGAUAAAUAUAAUUACCCUUUAUUGCAAGGUAAUUUCAGGGCAGUAGUUGGACAGUAAUAUCCUGAUGGACAAAAGAUUUCAGUAGUACUCCGAACAUCAGCCCAAACUUCUGCUCCACUGCAACUAUGAUUUAUCUGCCCUGGAGGAGGUUGAUAAUGGUACCUGCAUAUUUUGAGACAGGAAAUAUGAGUUGAAGGAUGCAAAAAGAAUACGGUCAAGUAAGAAUAAGAACUACAUAAGAUGUACGAAACUUAUGGGUCACACACACCAGUCUCGCUAUUGAGUGUUGAAAGAGGGCAAAACGCGCCUAGUGGACAAGCUUCAACCAGAAAAUAGGAAAAUAAACAAACAUAAAACUGAUACGAACGAGAGAAUCAACUUAUAGAAUUAUGCCAAAGGUGCAACUUGUGAUUUUGCCAAAGCAAAUUGUUUGAGCACAUCUACUUCAGAUAGUGGCCAUGAUUUCAAUGACUAUAAGAUAAUAUUCUUGUAGAUACUUACGUAUCAUGCAGGUGAGACCACGAGGACAGAAGAAACCUUCACAACAAGGUUCACACUCAAGAAUUCUAAGUGGCAUUUUGUUUAAAUCAAGGUCAACCGGAUUGUCUCCAAUGCUACAAGCCCAUCCUGGCUCACAUCCAUUAACCCAUGAUGAUAGAUUACAAUUUGUGUAGGUUUCAGGUUACCUCUUCCACCGCCUUUCAUUAAAAGUUGAGAAUAGAACUUUAACUCCGGUGCUGUAUACAAGCGCCUUAGUAUAUCACCUAUUCAACAACCGAAGACGUUGUGAAUACGAAAAUAAAGACAGUAGAACCCUGGAUUAUCAUGAUGUACAACGUAUACAACAUUAUGAACUAGAAUAGCAGACCUCGAACUAGAAAAAAUACAACCUCAGAGAAUCUUAACCAGAAAAUUAGUACCUUGUGUUUUUUUAAUGCAAUCUGUUAAAAAAUCUGUGUUCUCGCUGAAAUUAAAAGCUUUAUUCCAUUCAGCAUCCCUACAACACGAUCAGAAUUCAUCAACUGAAAAUUAGCUUUCUCUUUAGACGAAUUGUCAAAGACAACACUAUCAAAGAUGAAUUGUCAAAGACAACGCUAUCACAACUAAAGUGAAACAAGAUUUUGGAAAAGCUUUUGCCGGUUGGCUUAAUGACAUAGGAAUUGAAGAAUAUAACCUUUCCUAAAGCAACAUAAGAGACCGUUUUCGAGACAAUUUUUCAAUUAUGAGACAAUUGUUACUGCUUAUGUUUCCCUAAAUGCUGUGAUUAUGCUUUCCUUGAGCUAAGGGUCUAUUGGAGACAACCUCACCUGCACCCAAAGUCGGGUAAGGUCGUGUACACUCUACAGUCUCCAUAACGCCACUUGUGGGAUUAUACUGGGUUGGGUAUCGCUAUUGUUGUUGUCGUUCUAAAUUUCAGCAAGUAUUUGUUAGCAAGGUUAAUCCUAAUGCAAGAAGAAUUUAGACAGAAUGGAGAAGGAUUCACCAGACCUUCUAGCAUUUGCAAUUAUAAAUACUUCCAAGGCCCACUUUGAAUAGAUAUAAUCUCCAACUAUCGCAGUGAACUUACUGUCCUUGCUUGGUACAAGGGUCAAGACAACUGGAAGCAACACCGACCACUGAAAGACACAUCAGUUUGUUAGUAGAGAAUUGCGGCAAUAGAGGAUAACGGUUGGAGUUGAUACGUAUAGUAAGAUCAAAGUACUGAGUACACACCAGUUGAGCUUGACCAGGUUCAAAGUAGAUGGCAAGUGCAUAAGCUAUCCCAGUAACACAAACACAAAGCAAGACGAGAUAGUUAUCCAAAAUUGAAGAUCUUGGAUUGUUGAAGAAGUAGAACAUUGAUAGAUAAACUGCAGGCUUUACAAUAGUAUUGAUAUGUUCAACGGUAUCCUUAGCCAUAAAGUAUGCCAAACUGCUCAUGCCAGAUGCACUCUCUCUCCAGUAGUGUAAUUUAUCUAGAGAAAAUGACCUCAAAGACGCAAUCUUGAUGAGAAGAGCUGCAAAACAUUUUGGAAGAUUAGAACUUAGGUAAAGUGAAAAAUGGUAAUGAAGAUUUAUGAAACUAACAGUACCAAUCUUUCAUAUAAGUUUGUAAAACCAUAAAAAGAUACAAUACCAAAAUAAGGACUAUGCGCAGGGUCUAGGGAAGGGCCCGACCACAAGGAUCUAGUGUACGCAGCCUCACUUACAUUUCUGUCAGAGGCUGUUUCUAAGGCUUGAACCCGUGAUCUCCUGGUCACAUGGAAGCAACUUUACCAGUUACUCCAAGGCUCCCCUUCAACUCAUUAUUGGUACCAACAUUUACAAAUUGUCAGCAUUAACAAAGAAGCGGAAUUACAAGUGAUAACAUAGAGAUGAAGUGCAUGAUUUUAAAAUCGGGAACUUUUUCUCCUAAAUUUGCAACCAUAGCUAAUCAACUGUCUUUAAGUCAUCAGUCCUCUUAAAGAUAAAAAGCCUGAAGUAUGUACACUGUUCAGAGGUUUUGAACUUACGAACUGCAAUGACGGUGUAAAGGUACCCCAUAAAUCCAAAUGUUUCAUCACUCACGUCAGCAAGUGUUCCCAAACAGAUUCCAGCAAGUAAUAGAAUAAGACAAUCAACUGCUUGUAGCCUGGCUUCUCGCAAUCGCUGCUUCCCGACUCUGACAAUGUGAAGUAUAUCAUACAUGUCAACCAUCAAAAUGAAUGCAAACUCAAAAACAUUUGUAAAUCAACUAAAACUUUCACAUGAAUACUCCCCCCUAAGUGUCCAUAGAAGCUUCUCAGUUGGUCAUGCUACUUAGAAGCUCCAGCUGUGCGCGGGGUUUGGGGAAGGGCCGGACCAUAAGGGUCUGUUUUAAGUAGCCUCACGUUACAUUUCUGCAAGGGACUGUUUCUACGGCUUGAACCCGUGACCUACUGGUCACAUCGCAGCAACUUUACCGGUUACUCCAAGGCUCCCCUAACAUAUAAAAGAAAGAAGUACAGCAGAGAAAUCCCAAACAUUGGCAUAUAGGAUUGCAAGCACAAAAUAAACACAUAGACAUAGACAUCUUGAAAAAUAAUUAGAAGGUAUACAACUGAAAAGGAGAGAAACUUAUAUAUACCUAUAUACACAUGCAUCUUGAACAUUAAUUAGAAGGCAUACAAGUGAAAAGGAGAGAAACUUGUUAUUACCUUACAAGGAAAUACUUAUAUUGAAGCAAUACACCAGGGGUUUUCCGAUGGGACAAGUCCGACCAUGCCAAAAAGUUGAAUCUCAUGCGGUCCUUCUUCUGUGCAACAUUGGAUUUGAUAUAUGACCACAGAUCUCUAGAUUGAUCGGAGGUAGCAGCUGCAGGACUUGCUCCAUCAGCUGAAUUUUCUCCAACCGAAGAUGCUUGUGAUCCAGAAGAAUCUAGCAUAUCUGGUGGUAUGGGGUAUCCGUUAUGAAUCAUCCAUCUAACAGGAAGAUCUUUAUAGUUCAGUCCUGUGCUCGGGAGUUUAUAAAUUCCUUCUAAAAUAUCAAUGAAACGAUCAGGAGGAUUAAUGCGAUCAGGUACAGUUAUUCCAAUGCCUGCAAAGUAAGCUUCAACUGUCUUUACUGGUCCAUGAUAUACUGUAAGGCCACCCUUGGCUAGAAGUACCAAAUCAUCAAACAUUCUGAACAAAGAAUAGCUGCAAAAGGAAGUGAUUACUGAGAUAGGGAGUUAAUUGUAAGGUUCGGUUGGUUAUUUUAGAAAAUACAUUAUUCCUUAAUAUAUUACAUAGAACCAAAAUGGACUUUGUCGAACCAUCCAAAAUGUGGUUGCUUUCCUUCCAUAUCGGUUUGGUUUAGCUAAUCUUUGGUUCUAUCCUUUAUUCUGGAAAUCUCUUCUAAGGUUCAAAUUUGAUUCACAAGUUUCAUCAACUCGUUUGAGCAUUUUUAUCACAUCAUUAGUUUCUUCCAUUCUUAAGUUCUCUAGUUAUCAAUCUAGGAUAAUGAUUUUCAUAUGUUUGUCUUUUCUGACUCAUGAUCUUAUAUUUGCAACUUUUCUCAUAUUUUUUGGGAGUCGUAUGAGAUAUAAUUUCCUCAAUGAGUUUAGUUACAAUUUAAGAAGACAGAUCCCACUCACUAAGAGUAGAAUUCCGCAAGAGCCACUAAUUGCAGCUUAUAUUAACAACGAUAUGGAUAUCCCUUCGCUAGCAACAUGUUGGUCCAAUUAGUCCAAAAUUACAUCAAGCAUCUGAUAUGACUUUCAUAACCGUAGUUCAAAAUGAAAGCGAUUUAAAAGACUAUCGUUAUGCUGGAGGAAAAAAUACGAAAAGUUAUAUGGUUAUAAUUCCACAUGUUUUGUGAGUGCAAUAUGUUCAAUGAGUGCGAGGAUAAACAAAAGGAUACAGCAACAACAUAACAAUCACCGAGUAAUGCAGAUGGAAGAAGAUGAAUAGAGUAAGACCAAAAAGACUUAGAGGCCAUCAUUCACAACAUUACCUUGGCUGGUGCACCACCAUGCAUGCGUUCACUCCUUCAAGAGCUUCACGACGAGUAGCUCUGAGCAACAAUUGAGAUGAAGAGCUAUCCAAACCAGAAGUAGGUUCAUCUAAGAUUAUCAAAGAAGUUCCAUAACCAUUUCCAGCCCAACGUUGACUCUCUUCCUCUGACCCCCAGAGAUGCCUCGCUUCUCCACUGUCCCCACAAGAGAAUCUCUCACAGGUUGCAAUCCCAGGGACUCUAUCACUCUUUCAACAACUAAAACCUUUUCUGGUUUAGGCAAAUCAGAUGCCAAUCUGGAAGAGUGAUUCAACAAAGAAGAGUACACUAGCGUCAGUCGUCAUAUGAAUAUAGUAGUAUCGAAAAAACAGCAGGCUGACAAGUGAAAGCAGUAGCGAAAAGCAAACUAACUUCCUUUUGUCUAAUAUAAACUGGUCAUAUCUUUGCCUAGUUUGUGUUUUGACAACAAUACCAUAUUCUAGCUCGGGAUGUUAAUUUGUUAAGUUUUUUUGUUUAAAAAAUAUUGAAACUAUUGACAAUAUUCUAGCUUGGGAUGUUAAUUGGUUAAGUUUUUAUUGUUUAACAAAUAUUGAAAUUAUAUUUACUAUACUUUGUCAUUUUCAGUAAUAAAUUUAUAUUUAACAAUGAAAUAUAUACUUUUAUGAUAUUAAGUUUCAGGAUGUACCAUUUGUGGUAAAUCAUAUUAUACAAAUAUAAUACUGUUUGGUCUAAACAUUAAUUUAGGACGAGUUAGUUGCUUGUCUCUAAAGGUUAAUUAAGGACGGGUUAGUUUCUUGUCUCUAAAGAUUAAUCAAGGACGAGUUAAUUGCUUGUCCAGAUAGAGUAAUUUAGGACAAGGUAGUUACUCAUUGCAAAAAGGUUUUAGCAACCACAAAAUAACUACUUUUUAAAAAUGAAAAUUAUAUAUUUGAGAUGACAAAAAGGGUCUCUUAAAGUAUUUUUGCGACCGGAUAUGUUACCGUUGCUAAUGACAUUUAACGACCAGUUAGAGUACCUCGUCGCAAUUGACCUUUAGCGAAGAAGGCUAUUAGGACGAGCCGCGACGAGCAUUUUCCCGUCCUAAAAGGUCAUUUGUGACCAGAAUUGGACUUUUAGGGACCAGAUUUCCCUGGCUGUUUUUCUUGUAGUGACCUCUUUUCAGAUUAAGUGUUCAAAAUGAGUGAUGUAAUACAAUUUAGUUUUCAAAAUCCCCCCACUAAUUUUUUUUUCAACUUUAACUAUUAAUAUUUUUUAUUCUUUACAAUUUAUUUUCAUGGAAUCAAUCAUUAUUAGUAUGUAGUAGUUCACUAGUUUGAUUAAAGAUCUUGUUAGUCACAAAUUAUUUAACGAUAAGUUAGUAAUAAAACUUUGUAACUAGAUUCUAAUUUUUUAUUUUUUUUUGGCAGUGAGCAUAGAAAUUAGAAAGUGAUUAUACUCUCUUAAAACACAUGAUGAACAAUUGAAAAAAUAAAAUAAAUAUAUACCUUAUCUUAUUAUAUUUACACAAAUUUUCACCCUUACAAAGUAAUUAUAAAAAUCCCAAUUAAUUAUAUAUAUAUUCCUUAGAUGUAUUGGGAGCUAAUUAUGUAUCUCGAUAGACACAAUUCGAAAAAAUAUAUCAGGAGCUAAUUAUGUAUCUUCACAAGGAAAAAAUGUAUCUUUAUUGGAUGUAUUAUGUAUCUCGACAGACCUAAAAUCGAAAAACAUGCAUCGAGAGCUAAUUAUGUAUCUUUACAAAUAAAAAAAUUGCAUCUUCGUUGGAUGUAUCAGGAGCUAAUUAUAUAUCUCGACAGACCCAAAAAUGAGAUUAUCAGUAAUUAUAUAGAAUAUCAAAAUUUUCUAUAAUUAAGCUUCAAGCUAUCGGGAUUUAUGUUUUUCCCUAAACAAUUACACAUAGCUCAAGCUAUGUUUUCUUUUAGAUAAUACUCCCUCUAUUCUUAAUCAUUUAUUAACAAUAAAUAUUUUAUUAUACUUAUUAUUUUAGGAAUACAAGCCAUAAUUACUUGUUUGUUUCUACCUUAACCCUCAAGUCAUAAAUAUAAAGAUAGAUCAAUACAGUGAACAAAAAAAAGUAAAAAGUAAUGAUAAUUUAAUUAAAUUAACGUUUAAUUAAUAUUUUAUAAGGCGCAUGUAAAUAAAAAAAGUGACAAAUAUUUAAGAAUAAAGGGAAUAUUUACUUUAAUGAAUAACUAAAGAAAAUGAAGGGGAGCUCAUUAAAAAGUAAAAUGCAUUCUUCAAACCUGAUUUAUAUGUAAAUAUUUUAGUGUAUCACAAUUUAGCUAAUUGGUCUGAUUUGUAUUACCCUUUACCAGGUUACACUUAUUUAACACCAGUUUUGGGUAUUUUAACUUAUGAUGCUUCUAAUUUAUCAUCAAUAAAUCUGCCAGAGUUGGAUAUAAGAGCAUCAAAGAAGCCUAUUUUGGUUAAUUUUUCUAAUGUUGUUAAGCCUGUUGUUUUUUUUUAAAGAAAGAUGAGGCAAAGAAAAAGGGUUAAGAUUCUCAAAGGAUUGAAUAACUUUCAGUUGCAUUCAAUAAUUUUCUUAAGCUUAUGAGGGCUUUAAAUAGCCAACAUGAAACACAUAAUCUGCAUUAUUUGAAAUUUAAAAUCCUAAACUAUCUCAAUAAAUUAAACAAGCUAACAAAUUUUUAAAAUUUAAAUUCAUCCUAAAACAACUAACUUAUUUUGCUAAAAUUUACUGCAGUAACUUAAGCAAUUUUCAACAAAGCCAGUGCCAAUGGGGCUGUCACCAAAAUGUGUUUACUUUAACUUGGAUGGUGCAGUGGAAUUUGACAAUAUAUUGAAAGGCAAUAUGGGUAAGACUACCAAACAAGGUCAUUUUUCUAUAGUGGUUGAGUUUACUACUGCUGAACAAGAACCUACCACACNNNNNNNNNNNNNNNNNNNNNNNNNNNNNNNNNNNNNNNNNNNNNNNNNNNNNNNNNNNNNNNNNNNNNNNNNNGAACCAGAACCUAAACCCGAACCCGAACCUGAACCAGGCACAGAUGGUCAUAAAAAAAGUGGCAGGAAAAAAUGGGAAAUAUUUGGAUCAAUUGUUGGCGGAUUUGUUACUUUGAUUAUCUUGGUGUUAUUGAUCGAUUGUCUAAAAAAGUAUGAUAAGCAGAAAAAGAUUGACAGAAUGGAACAGGAAGCAGAAAGAGGUGUACCAUUGCUUAUGACAAGAGUUAGGAGCUCGAAGGCUCCAAUCGCUUCAGAGACUCGUACAAGACCCUCAUUAGAGAAUGAAUAUCUCCCAUAGAUUUGAAUUUUUUUUUUUUUCUUUAGUAGUCAUCUGGUAAUUCAAAGAUUUUUUGCAACAUUUCAUUCAAUUCUUUACCUUUCAUUAUAUAUGUUGUACAUUCUGUUUACUUUGUGUCAUCAUCUUGAUGAAUAUCAGUAGAGACUUUUGCUCAUCACACAUGCUUUACUAAUGUAAGUUCCAACUUGUUCUUGAAGUUCCCAAGUUUCAACAUUGUUGCUUCAAGAGAAGGGAAUAAGUGACCUUCCUUGAACCAAAAAUAAAGAACCAAACAAACAAACCAACCAAAAUAAAUAACUAAUUAAUUAAUCAUCUAAACAGCCUACAGCCUAGCACAAUUAAUCCAGAUGCUGACUUUCAUCCAGCUGUGGCCUAAGUAGUUCUCUCCCACUUGUUCUUUGCUAAGAUCUGCAGCUAGCUCAAAUGUGGUUCAUAUUCUAAUAACCAUCUUCUUUAGCUCCGUCCAAAAUCUUAUCCGUUAUGUCAGCCCUCCUUCAACAGGCAGAAGGGAUAAUCGAAUUUCCCUCUCUGAAGGCCCCCUAAGAUAAUCGAUAUGCUCUCUGUUCAACAUAGGGCAUUGAUAUUCCUUACUUCUCAGGUUAAGAAUUUUAUGAUCCCUUUAAUUGUAUCCCGUAAUAAAAUCUCACUGACAAACAUCUUGUCAAUGAUUGGUUUAGUUAUCUAGCGGAAAGUUUUUUGUUCAAAGAUUUAUAUACACAUUCCUCUCAGUCUAAUUCAUCGGGUUAUUUCUGCAUAAUUAUCUGGUCGCUAAUUCCUGCUUUGGUUGGAUCUCAAUCAACUAGUUCAGAUUCAUCUGCAAGAAGCUCACUUGAUUCCUUACUUCAACGAUAUGCUUUCAGGGAAUUGACCUGGCAAAGAAUCAGAACUGGUGUUCCUUAUGACGCGUAUGUUCCUUCCAACUUGAUGGGGAUAAAAGUUUCAGCCAUGAUUCUUAAAAGACACACGCUAAAACGGAGAGUCCACGGCUACUAUAAAGAAUUCUUUAUCCCAUCGGGGAUCAUAGUGGAGCCUUAUGUAGAGAAACUUGUUCUGGUUUAUCAAAACUUGGGUAAUUGGUCAUCCUUUUAUGAUCCUUUGCCUGGCUACAUUUAUCUGACACCAGUUUUGGGAAUCUUGGCUUAUGAUGCUGAUGAUUUGUAUGCCACAAAUCUACUAGAAUUGGAUAUACUAGCAUUGGAAGACCCUAUCAACAUCAGGUUUCCUUUUGUUCAGCCAACACCAGAGGGGUCUUUCCCCAAGUGUGUUUAUUUCUACUCGAAUAAUUUGGUCCAAUUUGGCCAUGUUACCGAUGGAAAUAUUUGUGAAACCAGAAUACACGGCCAUUAUUCUAUAGUUGCUGAUAUGAAAGCUGUUCCAAGUCCUUCUCCUAGUGCCCAUGAAAUUGCCCCAAGUCCUCCUCCUACAGCUGAUGACAAUAAUCAUCAAAACAUCAACUCUAAAAUGUGGACGAUUUCAUCAGUAUUUCUAUUUUUUGUUCUCAUGGGAAUAUUGUUUUUUAUUGUAAAAAAGUAUGGAUUAUUGGAAAUAAAACAGAGGUUGUAUGAUUCAGCAGCAGUUGUUCAGCCCUUGUUAGGGAACACAAAGGUGCAAUUGGAAGCUCCAACAACACCAUUGCCGGAGAAUGACUAUGUACUUUAAGUGGCAACACCAAAAAUUUUGUGGCUUGCAUACUCAGGUACAAUUUGUGAGAAUUUUUUACGCUAUCAAUCUAAUUUAGUAUGUUAUAACAAGUUAUUUAUUCUAUUUGCCAGGUUAUGAGAUUGCAUUUAAGUAAUUUUCUGUUGUUGUAGGUAGCUUAACAUGCUAGUGUAAAAAGUUUAUACACCGCCACUAUGUCAACACAUAGAACUUGGAUUUUAUAUACAAUAGGUUGUAAAAUAGGGUGUGAAUGCAUUAAUAAGUACUCCCUCCGUAACAUUUUAUGUGUCGCCAUUUGACGGACAUGGAGUUUAAGAAAUAAGCAAAGACUUGAUGCUUUUUACCAAAUUGUCCUUUAUUAAAACUAUGUACUAUUAUUAUUUUUAAUUAAGUGGGACCAAUAAGGAUAAAAGUGUAAUUGUAUCUUUAAAUAGUUACUAAAUAAGGAAAGAUGACGGACAAAAAAGAAAAUGACGACACAUAAAAUAGAUUCUAUGGAUUUGUUCUUUGGGAAACAUAAAUUGGAAGAUAUAAAGACAUUAUUUCAGUGUGAUAUCAAGUAAGAUUCCGUCUUACAAGUGAAGCGGAGAACGAUAAAGAUCUUAAUCAAGACGAGCAGUGGAAUACAGUGGCGGAGUCAGGAUUUUCAUUGAAAAAGUGCAGAAGUAAAUAUACGAACUAGUCGAAGGGGGUUCAACAUCUAAUAUAUAAGCAUCAAAAAAAAUAUUUUAACCAUGAAAAAAUAGUAUAAUUUUCCGUCGAAGGGGGGUUUGAAUGAACCUCCUAGAGCAAAGGUGGCUCCGCCACUGAUGUAACUAUUACAUUAGAUGUGCACAAGCAUGAGUUGGUCAUAUAUAUCAAGCAAGCCAAAAUUGAUAGUUGUGCGACUUGGAAAAUCUCAACCUCCUUACUCAAAGAAGAACAAACUGAAAGCAAAUUGAAAAAAGAAAUAUUAGAGCUUUUAGACAUUUUAGGUAUUACAAUUACUGACCAAUCCAUGUGUCUAUAGCUAAAAAAUGAAUCCUACAAAAAUGGAUUCUAAUUAAUUGACUUCCAAGUGAAGUAAUUUUAAUGUGGUGUUCGAACUUACAGAAUUUAGGUGGAUCAAAGUGAUUGCAGCAAAGAAUUGAUCUGGAAAAAUCCAAUAUUAGGUAUAACCGACCUACUUCACUGCUUUUGCUAGCAUGACAGCAAGCACGGACUGGCAAAAAAGAGUCAAUUGAAUAAUCAAAGUACCAGUUUCUUCCACUUGUGACCUUCGAGUGCCUUGACAUCUUAAUAAAAAGGAAUCCCCCCUAUUCCAGAAGUAAGGGAAACGCCUUUCGUCGCGCCACAUGAUUCCUGAAUGACCGUACCGAGGAAUUCUACCAUACUCCGUGCGCUAUGGUUGUUGAUACUGCAGAGUCUACCCGAAGGUUUAGUUUAGAGAUACACCCAAGGGUGUAGCCUAGUGGUCAAUCAAAUGGGUUGAGAACCACAAGGUUCAAACCUCAACGGAGACAAAAAACCACUAGGUGAUUCUUCUCAUCAGUCCUAACCUUGGGGGACAGUGUAACUUGAUGUUGCUGGUGGGAGGUGACAAGUAUCCCGUGCGCAAAAGUUGGCCUGGACACUACGGUUAUCCAAAAAAAAAAAAAAUUGUAGUCCAGAUAUUCUGAUCAAAGAGUAAUACUGUCAAAUUCCACACAAAAGAGAAGCACUUCUCUUCACUUACAGUUUGCUGGCAGACCACAGUCGAGGUGAUUGUCCUUUCAAGGGAGAAUGCUAGCAUGAUUUUCCUUUCACCAAUUGAGCUAAGAGUUUAUUGUUACCAAAAUCCUGAUCAAGAAAAAAAAAAGGAAGAUUUAAAACUCGCUAAUAGUUGAAUCCAGGAAAUUCAUUGUUCUAAUGCUUUCAGAUGUUAACCUUUCAUACAACAACAUACCCAGUAUAUUCCAACAAAGUGGGGUAAAGUGGGGUCUGGGGGAUGCUAACCAUUCGCAUUUUUUAUACAUAGGAACCAGAAUUUUUUUACAAUAGGAUUCUACACGUUAUCAAAGCACAAGGGUGAACAUGUGCACCUCUAAACCGCAUCCUCCUUUCUCAAGUAACUGGAAAAGGGGAAAAAACAAGAAUCAUUUGAUGAAAAACAUCAAGUAAUGCACGAACUAGCCAGGCUUAAUCGCAGCGAUACGUCUAUUUUAUCUUUAGCAUUUUCAAAUUAAAAAAAUGACUCAUAUUUCAAAAGACUUAUACAUUCGGGGAUGAUACAUCAACGUACUGUGAAUGAUAAAAAGCUUUCUAAUUUGUUUAUAUUUCAUUUUGCUAUGGACCGUAAAAAACAAGAGACAGUAUUUGAGAAUUUUCUUCUCCGUAUAAUUCCUUGCCAAUCACACUUAUUUAUAUAAGCUAAUGGAAUGGAAAGAACCUUCUAUUCUAAGCUAAACAAGAUCCUUCUAUUCUAAUGUAACGCCCCGCAUUUCGGGCUACAAUAUAGACCAUGAUUCCGACGUGUUGAUAAACCUCGAACCCAUAAAAUCCUAUGCCAAUACGACAUGUUAAUUAUUUGUGUAGCAUGUGAAUCCAUUCAAGCUUGAAUUUAGACCAUAGAGGUCCUUCAACUCAAGGACGAGUUGAAACUAUUUCGAUCGACUAAGUUUUAGUGGACGUUGUAAAUUGUGUCAGCUUCCAUCCAUCAUAACUCUCUGUAUAUAUCGAAUUAGGGAGCCUACUAUGUGUCAAAUGAUAGGUCUUCGAGUUAACUUUCCAAUGAUACCAAUUUUACUAAAAUCCGACACCCGAGCAAGAAGUUAUGGCCUUUCAAAGUGAUAUGCAUCGCCUAACCAAUCGUCCAUGGCCAUUGGAAAGCAUAGGCGAUAGCCUAGGCAGCGCCUAUGUAAACAUAGGCGAUAUCCUAGGCGGAGCCUAUGUAAACAUAGGCAAUGGGAUGAGCGGCGCCUAUGCAAAGAAUUCAAGUGACUUAAACACUCCGUUUUUGGGGCAAAAUGGUCCUUUUUCACCCUUACUUAUCCCUAAAACACGAAAUUCAGUUCCAAGGACCCCAAAAUACACCUUCAUUCAUCAAAAGUGCUCAAAGAUUCUCCUUAGGGUUUUAAAAUAAAAACUCAAGCAACUCGAGAUUCAACCGGGGGUUUUAGGAACAAAUUGCAUAUUUGGAAUCCUCUCAACAUAGGCUUCGAGAAGCAUCUAAUAUUCAUAGUAAUAGAGGUACGUGGGGUUAUCUCAAAAAUCUCAUAGGCUUUAAAAAUUCAUGUUUGCAAAUGGAGGUUUUGAAAUUACGAAUAUGAUUAUGUUUUAAACGUUUUAUGAUAUUGAUUUGGCCCUUAGGCCUACUCCCAAAGUGAUUUGCCAUAUGAUAUAUAUGUAUAUGCAUGUAUUCCGAAAAGAUGUUAACUUGAGAGCAUGAAUAAUGUGAAAUUUUUUCUCUUGAUGUGAAUUUGUUUUAAAUGUUCAUAUGAUGUAAAUUGUUCGAAAACAUCUUGAAGAGCAUGACAUGAAAUAUUUUGAGAAUUGAUAUGAUUUUGACUUGAACACGAGAAGGUUAUACAUGUUGAAUACAAUGGUUGAAUGAGAAGAAUAAUGUGAUAUUGAUGGCUUGCAAGUCGGGUAUGACGAUAUCCUACAGAAUAUGAUAUGUGAUUGAAUCAGAUGAAAUUUGAAUGCAUUGAUUUUACAUGAGAUAGGUGGAUGCCUCAAGAAGGCGUUUGAGUGUAAGGGCUCAUCGCAGGAAAACGUGUUUGCCGACACAAAAAUUUGGUACCAGGCUAAGUGAUCUUGUGUACUUGACUUUAUGUCAUUCCCAAAUUGGGACUAUAGGUAGGCGCCCGGGCUAAGUGAUCUUGGGCACUACCAUUGGGUCGAAACACCAUGCUUCGUUGCAUUAUGUAGGGUAUUCCACCUAGCUCAGUUGCAUUUCAUUGUUGUUGAGAAACUAUUGCAUUACACCCAUGUGUUUUCAAAUGAUUUGAUACGAAAUUGCUUUAUAAUGGCUCUCAACUAUAUUCUUGUAAAAAUAUUAUGUUUUGUUUUGAUAUCUCUGCGUGCCAGUACUUUUGUGCUGAUCCCCUCCCUUCUCCAAUCUUUCAAGUUCAGAGGCCCAGUCUAGGGGUCAAGAGAAUCAGUAGAUCAUUCAGACAGAGUUGCAGAGACAAGUGGUAAGCCUUCUAUGUUUCGGAAGGUCUUAUGUCCUGCAGUCCUUUUAUCUUAUAUUUAGUUUUGAGGUCUACUGAGGGUCUUGUCCCAGUUUAUACACAGUUACUUGACUCAGUCAUUUGUUAGAGAUUUUCGCAGACAGUUGUUUAGAGGUUGAUUGAAGUUGGGGGAAACUUUAUUUCCCCGUUAUUGUUUCUUUUCAUAUUUAUGAUCAUGUUUCCGAAUUAUUGUGUUUCUUCCGCAUUACUUUGAUCAUAUGAAUUAUGUGCUUGAUUACCAGACAGAUAGGGGUGUUUCGGGCCUCCAUGGUUCGAAAUGCUCGUCACGGCCAGGCCCUGGUUCGGGUCGUGACAUCUAAGCUAGACAAUGAAAGAGAUUUAUAUAAUUAACUGAAUUCCGAGUAAAGUAAUUUUAGUAUGUCAUAUAUGGCUAACAAGCAAUUUCUAAUGCUGACAAAGCUAGAAGAACAGAGCAAUGACAAGGAAUCAAGAACUGAAGGUUUCUCGACUGUUAAACAUCUCACAUAGUUUUAUAUAAUACACAAAUAGACACUUGUAUUUGCAUGAAAUUCGGUUCCUAGUCCCCAACUCUACGAGUUCUCAUUCAGAAAUUUCGCAUAGUUCUAAUAUCAUAGCUUUUAACUUCAUUUCCAAUGCAAAUCAAUGCUGAUUUUCAAGUCAACAUUCAUCAAUCAUUAGUAUUACCUAUCAAAUGUCAUGUUGUUGAAUCGUCGUAGAUCAACGAAUAAAGCUACUUAAUGAAAAAAAAAGAACUGUGUCUGAAAAUUUUCUUUCAACUUUUCUUUUUUUUGCUUUCCAAGUUUGAUGCAGUUUUCUUACAAGGAAUAAGCAAAGUAUACCUCAUUGUGCAUUAGAUAUUUUGUUUUUCCAAGAAUUCACGCCCUUCCAAAUGAUUCUACAAAUUGAUUGAACAACUCCUGCAAUGAUAACAACAAACUGAAACUUCAAGCAAAGAGAAAAAAUGUAAAACACCCAAAAAAAUUUAGCAUUACAUGAAUGGUGAAAAGGACAUUCUUUUAAUAUGACUUAGACAAAAACUACACUCACAUUCAUGAAAUAGCUGCCAAUUCCUAAUGAAGGAAGUUCACUUUGUAAAAUUACAAAUUGUAAUAAUUGGUAAUUCUAUUAAUUGUAGUUUUACUAAAAUAUCGUGUUAUAAUUUUUGGAAGAUGAAUUAACUAGUUCAUUAUAACAAUUAUUAUUUUGUAUGUAACUUAUGUAUAUUUUUAAUAGUUUUUUCAUGGGCCCCAACAUUUAGGAUUGACCAUGAAAAGUGCAAGCAGUUUUUGAAGAAAAUCUUAGCAAAGAACCCAAGUUCUCAAAAACUAGAAAAAAAUUAAUAUUUAUUGGGCGAAUUUAUAGUUUUUGGGUACUUGAAAAUCUUAGAAUUUACCUCGAAUUUACCGUUCCAAUUGUUUCAUUCUUGUUAAGUCAAUACUGGUUAAACCUUAUAAGUUUAUAUUUUUAUGACCUUUUUUAAAAAAGUGAAAUGUGUUUCCCAAACACAAAACUUCACCCAAUAGCUUAACAAGGAAAAUAAUUAACAAACAAGCAUCGGGGAGUAAUAAGCAAAACUUAAAAGCUACUGAGGAAAGAGAAAAACUUACAGCUGUGGGAGCUUCGUUUUUAUUAAUCAUCACAGGCAUUCGAGGUUAAAUAAUGUAGCACUAAUAUAUAUUUCAGGAAUAUGAGCAAUUUUUGACCAGUACUCUCCCUGGUCAAAUUCUAGGAGUGGUUCGAGCAAUGGGCAUUUGUAAAUAGAUAGUUUAGAGAGGGAAGAGGGCAUCCCUUUUACUGGAAGUGAUUGGAGAUUAGGGCAAUUCUCGAUGGUCAGCGUAGAGAGGGAGGAGGGAAACACUGAUUCUUCAAGAGAUUGGAGUUGAGGGAAAUUGAUGAUGUAUAGAUUUUGAAGCGAAUUGAGGUGCUGAAGACCUUGUAGUGAAUGGAGCUCAUCAUGGUGGAAUAAACUUAGCUCAGAAAGAGAGGAGGGAAGCCCUUGUUCCACCAGUGACUGAAUUUGAGGUAAAUUCCAAGUCCAUAGGGAUUCAAGAGAGGUGAGGCUUUUGAGAAGUUGGCUGCUUAAUGUUUUCAGAUUGUCUAUGGUAAGCCUUCGAAUAGAGCAAGGCAGCUCCCAAUUCUCACCACCAACAAUCUCUUCGUCACUGUCAUCGUGGGUGAUGUACAACUCUCUGAGAGAGGGGAGUCUCUGUAAACACCACUCCUUUCGGCCGUUCACCAGUUUCUCGCAAUUGUUGAUGCCAAGGAAUUGUAAAUUGAAGGGCAAUCCUCCAUCAGGAAAGGACUCUAUUUCUGUACAAUUCCACAGUGUCAGUUCCUUAAGAGAGGGAAGGAGUUCUGGCAGCUGCUUCAGUUUUUUGAGAUCUUCAAUACUCAACCCACAUGCCACUGAAGAAAGCAGUAUUUCAAGAUUCUCACAACAACUAAUAUAGAGUCUUUCAGUCCCAUUAGGAAUCAAAAACCUAAUAAGGUUUUGGCAUCUCUGUAUCCUCAAAUAGCGCACUGUUGGGACCAACUCAGGUGAUGAUAUAGAAUCACAUUCAUCCCGUUCCAAUUCCUCCAGAAAGAUGUUAGAAUUCAUCUUACUACUAUCUGGUGCCUCCAAUUUCAAUUUCUGGCAAUGACGUAUCCUUAUUGUCUUCAAGGUACUCGGCAGAGUGCUAAUAGGCAAGGAGGUAAGAGAGAUGCAAUCACUAAUAUCUAGUUCCUCAAUCUGCUUCAUUCCCUCAAAUUGGGAGGUAAACUGCUCAGCUUCAUCAAAGACAACUCCAGCCUUAGGAGAACCAUCAACUUGAAAACUUUUUAGACUUGAAAGUUGGAUGGGUGUCUCCAAAUUGAGUUCAGGACAUCUUGAGAUUCUCAAAUUCGUCAGAGAACAGAGAUUCUCAGGGAACUUCCCAACCAACUUGGGGCAAUCAUAAAUGAAAAGGUUCCGAAGUGCUUGAAACUCUCCGUUCCCUAGUACGUCCCACCGCUUCCACUCUGGCAUCUUUGCAAAUUUAAGCUCCUUGAGAGAGUUUAAAGGCUUUUCAGAGGACAGACUACCAUAGAAGUUCUCCGUUAUAUCUGUUAUCGAAUGCAUCUCUCUAAUGGAAAGGAAUUUCAAACGAGGAAGUUGUCCUAGUGCAGGCAAGGAAAAACAGUCCUUGCAGUUGCUAAGAGACAAUCGUACUAGCAGCUUAAGAAACGAAUGAUCAGCUAGCCAGUUUGGAAAUUGUGUCCCUCUAUAUCCGGAGAUUUCGACUUCUUUUAUUUUUGUGUGUGGACGUAGCUCAUCAAGUAUGUCUCUUUCGGUUUGUGAAUUGUCUGCAAUACUUCCCUGUUCACUCCACUUCAAUGAUAACUUCUCAACAUGUUCCUUUUCCCUCAUCUUUGCCUUCAGAGCUUCCCUUUUAUCAACCACAUUUUGCAACUCUAAAAUUGAUAGAGAUCCAUACAAGUUAUGUAGCUCACCCAAAUCUUCCAUUCUCCAACCACAGCAGCCACCUAAAAGAAAUUCAGCUCCCACUAGAACGUGGAGGCUUUUCAGCUUGCUCAGAUGUAGCGGCCACUUCAAGUGGAAAGUAGUGUUGCUAAUGUCAAGGUGCCGCAAGUUGAUUAGCUUUUCCAUCUGCAGAGGUAACUCCUCAAGAUAUCUACAAUCUGACAGGAGAAGCGUAUCCAAGUUAUACAAUGCACAGGUAGAAUCAGGCAACAUUUUAAUCUCUGUCCGAGAAAGGUCCAAAAAUCUCAGGAGCUUUAAUCUGAUAAACAAGUCAUUUGGCAGCUCCACAAAGCCAUAACCUGACAAUGAUAAUGCCCUCAAGGAUCUUAGACUUGGUAGUAUGUUAUAAAGCACCCUCUUGCUUAGCUUAGGGAGGUAAACGUACUGGAUUUGUAUUGGAAGCAAUGUCCUCAGCUGCUCUGACUUGGAAAGCCGAUUCAAUUUCUUAAAGUCACCAACUUCUCCCAUUGAAUAGGACAAGUGCCGACUUUGUUCCAACAUAUCAGAUCCUUGGCACUCUUCCAACCUGACACAGAGUUUUGAAGAUGCAUUUUGGGCCAAAUCAUUGACAAGAUCAUGCAUUAAGAAUUUCCCUCCAUCUCUUUCAGAAGAGUCUGGGACCCUUUCGAACAAUGAUCUUGAUCUCAACUCAUCAAAGUAUUGGUUACCAGAAUGCAACUUCUGUACAAGACCAUUAGCAAUCCACAAGAAAAUAACUUGCUCUUUGCAAAAUUGAUAAUCUUUAGGAUAUAUAGCACAAUAAGCAAAACAUUGCUUCAAAUGUGCAGGAAGAUCAUUGUAGCUCAAUAUCAACGCUGGUAAUACGUCAUUCAGAGUCUGCUCCCAUAUUUCACUUCUUAAAAUGUCUUUCCACCCAUCCACCUCUGAUUUGCAGCAUAAAAUACCAGCAAUUGCCUUUAGAGCUAAAGGCAAUCCUUUGCACUUGUCUGCAAUUUGUUUUCCAACCUCUUCAAGCUCUGGAUGUUCCUUUGGAGGAUCUCUAUUUUCUAGAGAAUGUCGUUUGAAUAAAGCCCAAGAGGCUUCACUAGACAGAAUCCCCAUGUUGAUUGCCCCACUACCUAUCAUCUGGGCAACAUUCACCUUACUUGUAGUUACAAUGGUCUUACUUCCCGUAGCUCCUUGCACAAAAAGAUUUCUCAAGUCAUCCCACUCUCUGUAGUUGUCAUUCCACACAUCAUCCAGAACAAUGAGAAACCUUUUUCCAUUUAGUUUUUCCUUCAAUUUGACUUGUAGUUGAUUAAGAUUGUCAUCAACAUUCAAGUCAAAUGAGCCAAUUUCUUGAAGUAAGCCUUUUGCUAUUCUUAAAGCAUCAUAUGCUUCAGAAACACAAAACCAACCUUUCAAAUCAAAAUGAUCUAUCACCUUCUCAUCAUUGUAAGCAGCUUUAGCAAGUGUUGUCUUGCCCACGCCCCCUAUUCCAACAAUAGGGACAACAGUCAGAUUUUUUUCACUUGCCUUAGACGUUAAACGGUCAAUCAAUCGCUCUAUUUCAUUCUGCCUACCAAAGACAUCAGGUUCAACCACAGAGGUUGAAGGAGUUCUAGUUUCUCUUUUAGUCGAAGCAAAAUGCUCCUUUAAGCCAAGAUGACCAAUUUGCUUCUGCAAAUCCUACAACGUUUCAAUGGUGUCGUCCAACUUUUCCUUUAUGGUGUCUUCCAACUUCUCCUUUAUGGUGUCUUCUAAGCUCAGGUUGAGGUCACUUACUUGCUGGUUGCUUGUUUCUGCAAGAUUUCGAAGUCAACCUUCCUCCUUAAGCCUUAAAGCCUCAUAAUUGACUUCUUCCAUUAAGUUUUCAGCGCCGUCCACAGCAUCACGAAGUUCAUUAAGCCACCGGCUCACAUCUCGAUUUGAUGCCUGCUUGUUCUCCGCAUCACUUAAAUUUAAAAAAAUGACUGCAACCAUCAAUUAAAAAGUGCCACGUGUAAUUAAAUUUAUCAGUUAUUUAAAAUGUCUUCUUCGCUUCUCUUUAGAACAACCAUGUCCCCAAAUCUCCAUUGUUAUGGCAAUUGAAGCUUUGAAAAAAAAACGAUUAACUCUCUUGUCAAACUCGUCUCCACAAAAUCAAACUUAAAAGAUAAUGUUUUCAUUUAAAUCAGCGUUUAAAACAUUAAUUUCAUUUACUUUGCUUAAAAAUUUUUAAAUCAAGUUAUAUUUUGUAAUUAGAUUUUAAGGAGAUGUUCUUAUAAUGCCAAAUACAAUCUUGAAUCAUAUUUAUAAGGACGAGAAUAAUCCCAUAAACAAGUAAUGUCAAUUUUUGUAGUCAAAUAUCGGAUAUUUGUAAAGACAAAAAAAGAAUCAUCUUGAUAUUGAGAAGUAUUUCGGUAUUUAAAAUGUCAAAUAUUUGACAAUCAAUAUCACCAUCAAUCACCACCACCACCCACUUCCACCACCACAACAACCAUUGACAACCAAUAUCACUACCAACUACUAUUGUCAGCUGCUACAAAACCUAACACCUCUAUUAUUCUAAUUAUAUCCACCGCUACCGCCACCCCAAUGCUAAUAACAAUUCCAACGGCACCUCAUGAAUAUGUUUUAGAAUUCCGAAGGCUCAAAUAUGCUAUCGAAGCUCGUUUAUGUCAUUGCUGUUACAAAACAGAUUCAUCCAUGUCAUUAUUUGUUAACGGUGAUUUUUCGAAAACAACUUUGCCAUGUGUCGUCUUUCUAGAGGUCCACAUAUUUAAUUAAAAUAAAGAGAAAAGGCUCAAAUAUGGAAUCAAAGUAUCAGAAAUUGCUCAUUUACAUCAUCCAUUAAAAGUAUGGCUCAUUUAUACAAUCGCUCUUGCAAAACAGGUCCAGUAUUUGUUAAGGCAGUUUUUCAAAAGGCAUAAUACAUAAACACAAUCUUUAACUUGACAUCAAAUUAUAACUAUUACCUUUAACUUGGCCAGUGUACAAGUAUACCCUUUAACUAUACAAACACUGAAUAAAAAACACUUCAAUUUGCAACACAUAUGCAUAAAACUCAAUCACUCCUACGUGGACUAGUACUCCAACCAAAUGCUGUCACCUAAUUAAAAAGAUACACGUAGAUUUUAGAUAUUAACUUUGCCAGUGUACAAGAAGAUCAUUUAACCAUACAAAGUUGAACAAAAAAAAACACUUUAAUCAUGCAAUACAUAUGCGUGAAUAUCGCUCCUACGUGGACUAGUACUCCAAUCAAAUGCUGCCACCUAAUUAAAAAGAUACACGUAGACUUUAGAUGUUAAAAAAACUUAAUACCACCAUCACAAAUAUAUGUACUGUUUAAAAUUUUCUUUUUAAAAAAUAAUUCAUUAAAGGUUGUCUUCAUUAAAAUAACAUUCAAGUCCGAUGAAAAUUGAAAGGUCACUUAGAAGAAGAUGUGAAAUCCAAUGAAAAUCCUAUAAAAUCUCCAUCUCUUAUUCUCUUUCAAUUAAGGAAAAAUUAUUGAAAUUUUCCAUUGAAGCUUCACAAAAUAGAAGUCAUUUAAUAUGAAAUCGGCACAAUUCUUUUACAAUUUCUAGCUCUUCGGAUAUACAAAUGAAGCAUACACCAUCGUCUUAAGGAGAAACAAAAGAGCACUAGAUAAUUGAUUGUACAUUUCCUAAUUGGGUUACUUUUUCUAAUUUUUUUUUAGAGUUGUUGGAGAAAAUAAAAAGAAAAUAAAGUGGAAUUUGAUUUGUAGAAAGGGGAUAUAUAUAUAUAUAAACGAUUCAUUAAGAGUAUAACAGUCAUUUAAGCACUUUAUUUUACUAUUGGAGGCUCCAAUUUUUACUCCUCCACAUGUCAUUUUGAGUGUAAUCACUCAUUUUGUCAGGUAGGAUUGAAAUAUUUUUUUAUUCAGCUUUUGUAUAGUUAAAGAGUCUACUUGUACACGAACAAAGUUAAAGGUCAUAGUUAUAAUUUGAUGUCAAGUUAAAGGACAUGUUUAUGUAUUAUGCCAAAAAAAAAGGUUAUAUGGAAACUCUUGAAGAAAUUGAUUCACUGUUGAUGUUUGUCUCGACUUUCUUACCAUAAUUGAGUUUUUCUCCUUUCUUUUUGUUUUGUAGCAUCCAUAAUGUAGUCCUAGGGGUUUGAGAGUUUUGUUUGGGGAAAACUUUGUGAGACACAAGUGUUCUGGUAUCAUUUGUGUGAACCGCUUUUUCUUCUGAGUGAAUGAUGUGAGUUGUCUGUCUUGACAGUUUUGUAUUCUCUUUUAUAUAGUGGAUUGCUCAUCUCGUUUUGUGGAUAUAGGUCGAUUGAUCGAACCACGUUAAAUUAUUGUCUCUUUUGGUGUAUAUCUCGUUUAUCUUCUUAUGUGGUGUCUUUCAAGGUUUGCUUUGCUAGCUUCCGCAUGACACUUGAUUAUUUCGAUCCUAACAUUUAGCAAUAGCAGAGGCUAAUAUUGUCCAGGAGAUUCUCAGAUUAACAAAUAUGAAGAGCAAGAAACAUACACAACCUCAACCUGAUAGCAUCGAUAUGGAAAUGACAUAACAAAUAAACAUCCAAUCAUUUAAUAAAACAUAACUGUCCUGAAAAGGGUACAAUACACCAUUCUUUUAUUGACAACAGUUAGCAGCAAUAAGUUUAUUUGCUAAAACUACAAAAUACAGACUAAGAAAUAGCAAGGAAGUUCUUGGUUUCCAAGUAUUAGAUGUCAUGGAUGAUUUCAUAUAAAAGUUUCCAACCACAAAAUCAAACUUUGGCUCCAAGUAAAAAUCUUGCAAGAGACCUUCAAGGAUUUGACCAAAUUAUAUGGCCACAUAACAAUAUAUUUAUAAACCAUAAUGUACAACAUGUUCUUUUAUGUGUUACAUCAAACAACUUUUAUUCUCAUGGAAUGUUGGGUUCCAUUAGAGCUGUAUGUUCCAUGUGCAGCAAGGCAUGCAUCAUCUCAAGGAAGGCAAAGUGGAAACAGAUGUGUGCUGAAAAAGAACCCGCGUGUUUGGAAAUCUUCAUCCGCAUUUUUGAUUUGCGUAGUUUGUAAGCAUUCAUGUUCUUCCUUGUGAUUCCAAGAAUUGACAGACUUUAAGACAACGAAGACAAGAUUGAACAACUCCUACAAUGACAAACAAGGAAGAAAUCCUCAAAAUUAACUGUCACGAUAUCUAGACAUUGCACUGCAAUAGACGCGUUAAUUAAGACUGCGUCAUAUUUUGAACAGGCUAUAUGCAUCCGCUAAAACUAGAAGAAUUAAUAAGAGAUGAUGUUUUCUAGCAAGUAAAAUGAACUACUGUGCCACAUAUAUAAGCAUCUUGGUAACUGAAACAUGAGUAAAUCCUUUUUUGUUAUCUAACCUUGAAUUCAUUCCCAACAGGAUACACUUCAUUGUUUUUCCCUUGUUCUGAUAUUCAAACCAACACAAGAUUAAAUACCAUUGAAAGCUUCAACAGAUUUCCCGUCUCAAUUUGAGAAGAGACCUUCAAAGCUUUCCCCGUCCCAGAUAAUUUUGAGUGCUUUGUCCAAAUCCUAACAAUGAAAAUGUAAUAUAUUUACAAUAACCAUAAUGUACAAUACGUCUCUUGUGUGUUACAUUAAACAACUUUUUUCUAUGUACCUCUUUGUUAGAGGUGUAUGUUCCAAUUGCAGCAAGUCAUGCUUCAUCUCAAGUAAGUCAAAAUAGACGGCUAUUACUGCCGUUGUCUUUAUGUUCAAUCUCCAAUCCACAAAUGCCAUGUUGUUGAAACGUCGAAGAUCAACGAAUAAAACUACUUAAUGAAAAAAAGAACAAUGUUUGAAAAUCUUCUUUCAAUAUUUUUUUUUGCUUUCCAAGCUUGAUGCAGUUUUCUUACAGGGAAUGGGCAAAAUAUACCUCAUUGUGCAUUAGAGAUUUUAUUUUCCCGAGAAUUCAUGCCCUCCCAAAUGAUUCCGCAAAUUGAUUGAACAACUCCUGCAUUAAUAACAAGGAACUGAAACUAGCUAACAAACAAGCAAGGAGAAUUUUUUUUAAAAUAACUGGAAGGUUAUCCGAAGUGUUGUUCCCAGUAGCAUGAACUUCAUCCUCAGAUGAGUUUACCAACGAUCCUUACACAUGGUUCAAGCAAUGGACGUCGUACAUACAUAAUUCAGAGAUAGGGAACUUAAUGACUACCAGAAUGUAGAAGGAUGAAGGAAGACCUUAAUCGACACUGAUUGAAUACAAUCAUUUACCCCGGAGCACCUCUUCCUUGGUCAAGGAAUCUUCAAGAAUACAAGAUUUGCUAUUGCAAGAAACUUCAAGCGAAGAGACAAAUGUAAAACAACGAAAAAAUUUAGCACUACAAGAAUGGUGAAAAGGAGUCUUUUACUAUGAUUUAGGCAAAAACUAGACUCACAUUCAUGAAAUAGCUGUGAAUUCCUAAUGAAGAAAGUUUAUUUUCCUUUCACCAACUGAGCUAAGAACAUAUUGUUACCAAAAUCCUGAUCAUGACUAUUUUUAAUAGCUUUUAGAACUUGUAGGUAUAAAUUAUAUUUUAUGGUUUUUUUUCCUUAAAAAGUGAAAUAUGUUUCUCAAAAACUAUGACCAAACACAAAACUUCACCCAACAGCUUAACAAGGGAAAAUAUUUAACAAACAACCACUGGGGAAAAAGAAAAACUUACAUCUGUGGGAGCUUGUUUUUUAAUAAUAAUCACAGGCAUUCUGAUCCGUGGACAAAUUUUGUAACACCGAUAUGUAUUUCAGGAAUAUGAGCAAUUUCUGGCCAGUACUCCCCCUUGUCAAAUUCUAGGAGUGGUUUGAGCAAUGGGCAGCUGCAAAUAGAUAGUUUAGAGAGGGAAGACGCGAUCCAUUUUAUUGAAGGGAUUGGAGGUUAGGGCAAUCGCUGAUGGUCAGCUCAGAAAGAGAGGAGGGAAGCCCUGAUUCUGCAAGAGAUUGGAGAUUAGGGCAAUCCUCGAUGGUCAGCGUCGAGAGGGAGGAUGGCAGCGCUGAUUCUGCAAGGGAUCGGAGAUUAGGGCAAUCCUUGAUGGUCAGCUCAGAGAGGGAGGAGGGAAACACUGAUUCUGCAAGAGAUUGGAGAUUAGGGCAAUCCUCGAUGGUCAGCGUAGAGAGGGAGGAGGGCAGCGCUGAUUCGGGAAGUUAUUGGAGAUUAGGGCAAUCCUCGUUGGUCAGCUCAGAGAGGGAGGAGGGAAGCCCUUGUUCCAGCAGUGUCUGAAUUUGAGGCAAAUUACAAAUAUCUAGAGAUUCAAGAGAGGUGAGGCUUUUGAGAAGUUGGCUGCUUAAUGUUUUCAGAUUGCAUAUUUCAAGACUACGAAUAGAGCAAGGCAGCUCCCAAUGCUCACCACCAACAAUCUCUUCGUCACUGCCAUUGUGAUGGAUGCGUAACUCUCUGAGAUAGGGGAGUCUCUGUAGACGCCACUCCUUUCAGCCGUUCACCAGUUUCUCGCAAUCGAUGAUCCAAAGGAGUUGUAAAUUGAAGGGCAAUCCUCUAUCAGGAAAGGACUCUAUUUCUGGACAACCAGACAGUUUCAGUUCCUUAAGAGAUGGAAGGAGUUCCUGCAUACUUUCUUGCAUCCGCUUCAGCUUUUUGCAAUUCCAAAUACUCAAUGAUGUCAUCUGGGUCACACAUGCCACCGAAAGUAUUUCAAAAUUCUCACAAAACCCAAUAUAGAGCGUUUCAGUCCCAUAAGGAAUCAAAAACCUAGUAAGGUUUUGGCAACUGUAUCCACAAAGUGUGUGCUCUUGGGUCAAACAGUCUCAAUUCCUCCAGAAGCAUGUUAAAAUUCACCCUACUACUAUCUGGUGCCUCCAAUUUCAAUUUCCGGCAACGACAUAUCCAUAUUGUCUUCAACAUACUCGGAAGAGUGCUAAUAGGCAAGGAGGUAAGAGAGUUGCAACUUCAGGACGAAAGUGAGUUCAGGACAUCUUGAGAUUCUCAUCUUCGUCAGAGAACAAAGAUUUUCAGGCAACUUCCCCAACAACUUGGGGCAAUCUUUAAUGGAAAGGUCCUGAAGUGCAGGAAACUCUCCGAUCCCCAGUACGUGCCACUGCUUCCACUCAGGCAUCUCUGCAAAUUCAAGCUCCUCAAGAGAGUUAAAAGGCUUUUCGGAGGACAGACUACCAUAGAAUUCCUCCGUCACCUCUGUUAUCCGAUGCAUCCCUCUAAUGGAAAGGAAUUUCAAACAAGGAAGUUGUCCUAGUGCUGGCAAGGAAAAACAGUCCUUGCAGUUGCUAAGAGACAACUGUACUAGCAGCUUAAGAAACGAAUGAUCAGAUAGCCAAUUUGGAAAUUGUGUCCCUCUAUAUCCAGAGAUUCGGAGUUUUUUUAUAUUUGUGUGUGGGCGUAGAUCAUCAAGUAUGUCUCUUUCAGUUUGUGAAUUAUCGGCAAUACUGUCAGCAUCACUUUCACUCCACUCCAAUGAUAACUUUUCAACAUGAUUCUUCUCCCUCAUCUCUGCCUUCUGAGCUUCCCUUCUAUCAACCACAUUUUGCAACGCUAAAAUUGAUAGAGAUCCAUACAAGUAAUGUGCUCCACCCAAAUCUUUCAUUCUCCAACCACAGGGGCCAUCUAAAAGAAAUUUGGCUCCCAUUAGCACUUGGAGACUUUUCAACUUGCGCAGAUGUAGCGGCAUCUUCAAGCGAGAAGUGUCGCUAAUGUCAAGAUGCCGCAAGUUGAUCAACUUUUCCAUCUGCAGCGGUAGCUCCUCAAGAAGAUAACAAGAUGACAGGAGAAGUGUCUCCAAGUUAUACAAUGCACAGAUAGAAUCGGGCAACUUUUUUAUAAAUGUUUGAGAAAGGUCCAAAAAUCUCAGGAGCUUUAAUUUGAUAAACAAAUCAUUUGGCAGCUCCAUAUUCCUAUAACAUGACAAUGAUAAUGCCCUUAAAGAUGUUAGCCUUGGCAGUAUGUUAUGCGGCACCCUCUUACUUAGCUUAAGCCAAAGGUCCUGGAUAUCGAUUGGAAGCAAUGUCCUCAGCUGCUCUGAUUUGAUGAGUGAUUUCAAUUUCUCAAAGUCACCACCUAGUCCCAUUGAAUAGGACAAGUGCCGACUUUGUUCCAACAUAUUAGAUCCUUGGAAUUCUUCCAACCUGACACAAAGUUUUGAAGAUGCAAUUUGGGCCAAAUCAUUGACAAGAUCAUGCAUUAAGAAUUUCCCUCCAUCUCUUUCAGACGACUCUGAGACCCUUUCGAACGACGAUCUUGAUCUUAACUCGUUAAAGUAUUGAUUACCAGAAUGCAACUUCUGUACAAGACCAUUAGCAAUCCACAGGUGAAUAACUUGCUCUUUGCAAAAUUGAUAAUCUUUGGGAUAUAUAGCACAAUAAGAAAAACAUUGCUUCAAAUGUGCGGGAAGAUCAUUGUAGCUCAACAUCAACGCUGGUAAUAUACCAUUCAAAUUCUGCUCCCAUAUUUCACUUCUUAAAAUGUCUUUCCACUCAUCCACUUCUGAUUUGCAGCGUAAAAUACCAGCAAUUGUCUUUAAAGCUAAAGGCAAUCCUUUGCACUUGUCUGCAAUUUGUUUUCCAACCUCCUCAAGUUUUGGAUGUUCCUUGGAAUCCCUGUUAUCUAGAGAAUGUCGUUUGAAUAAAGCCCAAGAGGCUUCACUAGACAGAGUACCCACGUUGACUGCCCCACUACCCAUCAUCCGGGCAACAUUCUCCUUAUGUGUAGUUACAAUGAUCUUACUUCCCGCAGCUCCUUGUACAAAAAGACUUCUCAAUUCAUCCCACUUUUCGUAGUUGUCAUUCCACAUAUCAUCCAGAACAAUGAGAAACCUUUUUCCAUUUACUUUUUCCUUCAAUUUGACUUGUAACCGAUUAAGAUUAUUGUCAUCCUUUAUACUAUUCAUUAUUUUCAAAAUUCAAUAAUUGAGGCAAGAGAGGAAGGGUACUUGGAGCCCACUUGAGGGACUCAAAAAUAAAAUGAUAAAGGUCAUUUUCACAUCUCAUUAUAGUGUUUGUUACUUGGCCUAUAAUAUCAUGAAUAUGUUUAGCGUAUUUCUUCUUCUCGAGUGAAGUAGCUUAUUCUUUCUCUGUACACUAAGGAUUCAGACUAUGUUUAGUUCUCAUUUAUGUUUGCGCUAUGUGAGUUCUAGCUAGGAAGCAAAUACCGCAAAGGGUUAACAGGGCAGCCGCUGGUAAAAAAGGAGAUGGUACUAAAGCGGCAGGCUCUUAGACGCUACUAGUGCAAUGACUAGUCUUAAUUAGGGCUAUGCAAAUUUCGGUUCAAACCAUUAACCCGAAUCGAUAAUUACUUUAUCGGGUUAACGGGUCGUUUUUUUUCAUUAUUGAAUCGGUUGUCGGUUUAAUAAUUUCCACUAACGGGUUAUCGGUUCGGGCCUAGGGUUUCCUUAAUUUUUAUCGGGUCACCCGAUAACCCGAUAAAAAAUGCAUAGUUGCACACUACAUCCAAUACUUAGGGCUUACCCGUCUACCGGCCCAACCCAAAACUCUGAAGGCCCAAUUUCCAAACGGCCCAACCCGUAUUACUACUUAGAGACUUAGCAACUUUACUUAGGCUUAGGGUUUCAUUUCAUUCAUUCAUUCAUCUUCUUUUAGUUCUCAAUUUUCACAUCGGUUCGAAGACAUCGCAAUCAGCCUCUCUCGAGUCUCGACUCUCAGUCAGUCAGUCAGUCUCUCUCAGUAUUCAAACUUCAAAGUCUAUUUUUGCUGAAACAUCAGUAUUCAAGCUUGAUUUUGCUGAAAACUGAAGAGACCCAAGUCGAUUUUUGCUUUUGCUCUCAGCAGUCAACAGGUAAGAAUUUUUGUUUUUUCUCGAUUUCAUUCUUACAAGUCUUCUGCUAAUCUGCUUCAUCUUCAAUUUCUGUCCAAAGCAUUGCUACUGCUAAUCGGCUAAUUCUAUUAACCUUUAAGAAUUUAACUGCUUGGAAUUAUUGGUAUAAAUGAGUGAAUUGAAGCACAAAGAAGAAGAAAUUUUUCUUAACUGUUCUCUGAAGUUAAAUAUUCAGAAGAAAUUUUGUUUUAUGGAUAUUACGAUUAUUAUUUAUUGUUGAACUAGAUAUGAUUGUCAGUUGAAGUGAAAAAUAGAUGGAUUUUAAAAAGUCGGUCAAAGUUCGUGAUGUUUGAAUAUUGAGAAGCGAAAAGUGGCACAAACUUUUGGACAGAGGACGACAGGGGGUCCUUUUUUUUUUUUUUUUUUUGGAGAGAGCAUCAUGAUUGCAUCGCUCUGUUAUCUGUAUGAACUCAGUUUGCUUACUUCAUCGCCUAAAGUUCUGUUAAGUCUUCUUUCUUACCUGUAUUUUUGUUUCUAGGAGAUUAUCUGACUAGGCUAGCAGAUUUUUGAAAUUAUUGUUUAAGUUGUGCUGAGUUUGCAAUAUUUUUUCCCUGUAUUUAUCAUUGACAGUGACUUGGAGGGUCUGGUGUUUAUGCUUGAGUAGUAUUAUCAGUUGUUCUUUGCUAAUUGUUUGAGGUUCUUUUGAUUCUAAAAACUUGGGAUCUCUCUAUACAUUCUCUUAUUUUAGCUGUUGUUAGUAUAUGAUUCCAAAUUUAAUGCUUAUCGGGUAUCAUAAAAAUCUCAUCUUUUUAUGUUCACACCGCCCAUCAGAUGUCUUUACCACUUACAGUGUAAUGCUGUACAAUAUUUGAAAUUCUUGCUUAAGUUGUGUGCAAUUUGCUAUAUGUUUUCAAUGCACUCAUCAGUUAUGAUAGCAACUUGAGAGGGUCUAUUGUUUAUUCAUUUGUAGUUAACUCAAUCACUUUUUGUUAUGCUGAGGUUCUUUUGAUUCUAAAAAAUUGUGCUCUCUCUUUAGAUUCUCUAAUGUUAACCACGGUGAGGAAAUAAGUACAUAUGAUUUUGAGUUGAAUCUCUAUCGGGUAUCAUAUGAAUCUCAUCCAUUUCUAUUCACACUGCAUAUCAAAUAUCAAAUUGAGUAGUCUAUUCUAAUUCUUAAGUAAAUUGAUGAUUCUAGCGAUACCAGCAUCUAGAAGUUGUGAAUAUGGAAACAUUUGUGAAUAUGGACACUCUAUCUGCUGCUUCGUAUAUACCAAAUUCAAGUUGGAUAAUGCAACAAAGCAAGAGCACCAAAUGAACGUUGCUGAUCAUCUCUAUUGUUCUUUGUUCUUUGAAGAAAAUAAAAGUGUACUUUGCUGUUUGUAAUGCAUAAUAUUUAAUUCAGCUUUGGCUUCUUUUUUUCUUCGGAGAUGAAAUCAUUUUCUCUUCAUUAAAAGCUGACAUUUUUUUUUUUGGAAAAGGGCUAAAAGUGCACUAGUUUUACAAACAAUAAGGACUAUUUUAGUGCUUCAAGUGAAAGAAGAGUGAUGAUUUUGAACUUAAGUCCGAAGGGACUAUUUUGGGACUUCAAUUUGAUAAAUUUUUGCAUAGAUGUGGAUUGCCCUGUUUAAAUUUUUUUUCUCAUCUAACUAGAGAUUUCAUCUUUUAAAUGGAUAAGCAUAUAGAGAAAACAAAGCAUGGCAGAGCGAAUUCUCAGCUUGGGAGUCCUCAUAGAUAUUGUGGAUGAAGAAUGGAUGCGAGAUACUCUGCCCGCUGAUGGUAUGAUACUUAUUCAAUUAACAUAAUCACUCCUCUAUGCUUCAGUACCAGUUUAGUUGCAGUCGACUACAUCAAUCUUAUCAAUUGCUUACCCUCAGCGUGCUUAAGCUCUCAAGUGUGGUCAAAGAUAAUGAUGUGUUGCCUCAACUAGGCAGCACUCGAUUUCGCUAGUGAGACACUAAGUCUGUGCAUCAAACCUGGUAGCGGUUUGGACUGCGUACAUUUUACCCUACCCAGACCCCCCCCCCCCCCCCACCCCCACUUUAUGGGAAUAUACUGGGUUUGUUGUUGUUGUAUUGGCAGGCUUAAAAAUUCUCUAAGGCUAGAGGUUUUCCAAAUCACAUACUUAUCUUAAUUUAGUUAUAUAAUUCUCCCUUCCAUUUCAAAUUGAUUGACCUGUUUUGACUUGGUACGGGGUUUAAGAAAAUAAAGAAGACUUUUGAAUCUUGUGGUCUUAAAUUAAAGUUAUGUCAAAUGUACCAAAAUGCCCUUUAAUCUUGUGGUCUUAAACACGCCAUGUGGAAAAUUGAAAUCAAAGAGUUUCUAAAAAAGGAAAAUGGCCAUUCUUUUUAAACGGAUUAAAGAGAAAGUAGGUCAAACAAAUUGAAACGGAGGGAGUAAUUGUUAUCGUCUUAAAAUUUUCUCUUUUUUAUUUUUCCAUUUUCCAUGUAUCUUUGUAGCUUAACUACUUAAGAAUUGACAAAUGUUAGAAUUUUCUGAUGGUGCUUUUAAUUCAUCCUUUUCCGCAGAUCUCCCUUUACCACCUGUACUACUUCCAAAGACAGAUGACAACGAAGACUCAAGUAAGUAUUACUUGUAUUCAUACGCUUGGGAAAUAUUGAAUGUUGAUAUGCUUUAUUACUUAAUUGUUGGUCUGGGUAUGAAAUAUGAAGUCAAAAUCUCACAAGUUAAGACUUUAAAAUAUCGCCAUGUUAUGUUAGAACAAAAUGCCUGUAAAGUGAGUAGCUGUUUUGUGGCUUCUAGCUCUUGGCCCCUUUUUGUUAAGUGUUGCAGUGCCCUAGAUAGGAGUACGUUUUAACACAAAAUUUCCUUGGUUAAGUACUUCAUAUGUGGUUACAUUUCUUUUUGAAAAGAAAUCUGAAAAAAGUCAUCUCUGAUAUUUCUCUAGUAGGUUGUGCAAACGUGUGAUAACAUUCCCUAAAUUUUAAUCUAGCCUCUGUUCAUCCAUGAUUGGUGUGUACUGAAGUGCUUCCCUAACUUGUUCUCUGUGAUGUUAAACCCCUUGCAAUAUACAUCAUUCAGCUAGUAUCAUGUGGAUUUUGCUUAUAAUCAUUUGAUGGAAUAUUAAUGAGUACUUGAUGCUAUAGUUGGGUUAUUUCUGAAAUGGGUUUUGGCAUAAGCAGAGAUCAGGAACACUUGCACAUGGAUGUAAUUUAGAUAUUUCCUGGUGUGCUCACAUUCUAUUGAGUUUUGAUAUCAGGAAUCUUACAUUCAGUGAGUUACGGAACAGAUUAGUUUGUUGGUUCUUUUCAUGCUGACUACUUUCCCUAUCAGUUCUGAUACUUGGAUAAUUGAAUUGCAUCCUUUUGCAGAUCAAGAGGCUCCACAAGUUGGAGAUACAUGGCACGACCUUGCAUUGGAAAAUCAACGACAUUAAUGAUCAACCUCGUGUGUUUGAUUUGCAACCAUUAUAGUCAUAUAUAUUUGUUGGUCAUGUACUUGAUUAGCAUUGAUGGUUGUUUGAAAACUAACUUCGACUGUUCUUUCUUUUGAUAUGUUGGUCUGUUGUCUGUUAGUCUAGUGGUAUGAGUGCAGCAGCAUGUAAUGUGUGGGUCAGCACACAUCAUUGAGUUUGAACCUUACUGCAUACAAAUAUUCGGUAUGUAAGUGGAGAAAGGUUAAGAGGGUCGGGACACCUUGGCGCCAUUGAUCCUAGUUGUCUUGGCAAUCUGUGCUCUCCAAAUGGAAUAGAUUCAGGGAAUGCUAGCAUGUUAGCGGAUGUUAAGGUCAUUCCUACUCAUAGUUUAUACCAAAUUGAGUUGUCUUUGUUUAAUUUAGUAGUUUAAUCUCGAAAUAAUUUGUUCCCAAUCAAAUCCAAGUGCAGCAAAUCUUCAUCUGCAUUUUUGAUUUGCGUAGUUUCUAACCAUUCAUGUUCUUCCCUGUGAUUCCAAGAAUUGGCAGACUUUAAGACAACGAAGACGAGAUUGCACAACUCCUACAAUGACAAACAAAGAAGAAAUCCUCAAAAUUAACUGAACAUGAGUAAAUCCUUUAUUUUUAUCUAACCUGGAAUUCAUUCCGAACAGGAUACACUUCGUUGUCUUUCCCAUUCAAACCAACACAAGAUUAAAUACCAUUGAAAGCUUCAACUGACUUCCCAUUAGAUCUUUAAGUUGCUUGGUGUCCGGUGAUUUUGGUUCCAGCGAUGAUUUGGAAAUCACUGGACACCAGGCGACUUGCAAAUCGCUCACCAACAACGUUUUGUCCCCUUUGGUUUCUUUCCAAAUCAAGUGUCUCCUAUGAAAUUUUUGGUCAAAAAAUUAGCCUUUUUGGCUCUGGACUCCAAUAAUAAUCAUGUCAUCUUUUGAUUUUCGUUGGCUUAGACAUAUUUAGAGUAACAAGAAAGUCAUUGUCACAUCCCAGACAAAUAUCACAUUGACAAAACACUUGAAAGACGUUGAUUGUUAAUAUAUUUGAAAGUUAGCCGUUGAUUGUUAAUAUAUUUGAAAGUUAGCCGUUGAUUGUUAAUAUAUUUGAAAGUUAGCCUUAGAUCUUGCAACACAUUUUAAAGUCGCGCAGGCCUAAUCGGAAACCAAAAGCCAACAAUAGAAGCUAUCACAUCCAUAGUCCCUGAUGUCCAAUCCAACAUGAGAAUAAAAUACUAGUUAAAGCUUCUACAACUUGAGCAGAGACACCUACAAAACGUUCUACUUCCCAAAUAAUUGUUGAGCCUCGUCAAAAUCCUAACAAUGAAAAAGCAAGAUCUUUCCUUAUAAUCUAUUACCACAAUAUACAACAUGUUCGUUUAUGUGCUACGUUAAACAACUUUUAUUCUCAUGUACCUUUGGGUUUCAUUAGAGCCGUAUGUUCCAUAUCGAUUCAGUUUUUGAUUGCAUAGUUUCUGACAGUUCAUGCUCUUUCCUGCGAUUCCAAGAAUUGAUGGAUUUAAGACAGCGAAGACAAGAUUGAACAACUCCUACAAUGACAACAGGUCAACAUCGAAAUCAAACUGAUAGACAAACAAAGAAGAAAUCCAAACUUACUAUCAUGUUAUCUAGACAUUUGAUUGCAAUAUACGUGUUAAGUAAGACUAUCAUAUUUUGAAAAGCUUAUAUGCAUCUAAGACUAGAAGAUUUAAUAAGAGAUGGCUCUUUCUUGGUUAUGCUGUCAAUUCUAAAGAUUUACAGAAUUUGGGUGGAUCAAAGAGAUUGCAGCGAAGAAUUGAUCUGAAAAAAUCCAAUAGUAGGUAAAACCAACCGAAACCCCUGCUUUUUCCCGCAUGACAGCGAGGAGUCAAUUGAAUGAUCAAAGCAUCGGUUGCUUCCAAUUGUGACCUUCGACCGCCUUGACACCUUAAUAGCAAGGAACUCCCCUAUUCCACAAGCAAGUGGAGAUCUGGGGGGUCGGAAACCCCAAUGGGAAACCUUUCACCGCGUCACAUGAUUCCUGAAUAGCCAUACUGAGGAAUUCUACCACACUCCGUGCACUAUGGUUGUUGAUCCUGUGGAGUCUAUCCAAAGGGUUCAAGCUAGAAUGUCCCGAUAUUGUCAAAUUCCACACAAAAGAGAAGCACUUCACUUACAGUUUCCUGGCAGAUCACACUUGAGGUGAUUGUCUUUCCUUUCACCAACUGAGCUAAAAUGUUGUUACCGAAAUCCUGAACAAGAAAAAAAAGAGUUAAAACUUGCUAUUAGUUGAGGAAAGAUAUUCAUUGUUCUGAUUCUUUUAGAUGUUAAAUUAUCUGGAAACAAUCUCUUGUAUUUUUGACAUAUAGGUACUAAGAUUCUACACGUUACCAAAGCACAAGGGUGGACAUGUGCAGCUCUAAAUCACAUCCUCCUUUCUCAAGUAACUGGAAAAGGAGAAAAACAAGAAUUAUUUGAUGAAACGUCAAGCUACAUGAACCAGGCAGGCGUAUUUGCAACGGUACAUCUAUUUUAUCUUUAGCAUUUUCAAAUAAAAAAUGACACAUAUUUCAAAAGACUUAUACAUCGGGGAUGACAUAUCAACGCAUUGUGAAUGAUAAAAAAAGGUCUUUUUUUUCACAAUGUAUAAAAAUUUCUGGAGAUGCAAACUAUUACCUUUUAUUUGUCAUUUUUCAUGCUAAUCUGAAGAUGAUCUCCCGGCUUCACAGUGGCAAUAGACGCUACACACUGCUCUAUAAGAUUUCACUAUGUAAAAGAAUUAGUAAACAAGCAAAGAGAAAAAACAAAAAAUAAAAACUACUGAAAAGAAAAAGAAACGGAACAACUCACAUUUAUAGAGCACCAAUCGUUUUGAUCAUUGCAGGUGCUCCCGACCAAUCUCGAUGUAGGAGAUAUAAGCAAUUUAUGACAAGUAUAAUCCCUUUCUCAAAUUCUAGAUGUGGUUCGAGCAACAGGCAGUUGGAAAUACAUAGUUCAGACAUGGAAGCUGGUUCUGCAAGCGAUUGGAGAUUACGUCAAUGAUAUAUAUGCAGCUCAGCGAUUGAACAACUCCUACAAUGCCAAUGAUCAAAUGCUAAAUCAAGAUAAUAGGCAAGAAAAGGCAAAUUCCACAGAAUAAACUGUCAAGUUAUCUAGAUAUUAAAGCAUACCGAAUGAAGUACAUCCGAAUGAAAAAGAACUGAGUAUGAAAAUUUUCCUUCAAAUCUUUGCUUUAAUGUAGUCUAAAUUACAGGGAAUAGUCAAAACAUACUACCUGAUUGUGAAAUAGUGAUUUCAUAUUCAAGCAUUUGUGCACUUCUUAGUGAUUCUGCAAAUCGAUCGAACAACUCCUGCAAAUAUAAUUGUCAGGUUAUCCAGACAGUAAUUAGUGUUUCCAAUAGCACGAUCUUCAUCUCUGGACGAAAAACAAAAAGCUACUGAAAUGAAAAAAUGUGUUCACUUACAUGUAACAACUUUCAUGACGGAGAAUAAUUUCCAUUCUGCAAUAUUUGAGGGAGAACAUAGGUUAAUAGACAAGACAAGGUCUUCACAAGAAUAUUAAUAGUCAAGUAAGAUGAAUAAUGAGAUACAUAACAAGAAUACAUGAAUGGAUGCUGAGAUGAAUCUCCAAAGACAAUAAACACAUAUGUCCAUGGUAACAGAUUACUAGUUCAUUAGUGUUAAGCUAAGCUAUCAACUUUCUGGAGCAAAUUAAAGAACAGCUAGUCACUACCAUUGUUAUUAUUAAUUUAUUUUGCAUUGAUAGAUCUUCAUAACUAGUUGUAAUUUGACAAAUUGUAAAAGCUGGCAAUUUCAUUACUAGUAGUUUUAAGAAAAUUUUGUGCUACAUUUUUAGAGGUACGAAUUAUCUAGUUCAAAUCUCUGUCAUAACUUUUGGUUAUUUUUAAUAGUUUUUAGAACUUAUGGACAUAAAUUAUGUUUCCUGCUUUUUAAAAAAAAAAAAAGAAAAAGAGUGAAAUUUGUUUCCUAAAAAUCACGUGUUGAAACAUCACCUAGAUUUGAUUUCACCAAAAUACUUGAGAAUCCAUUGGCUUCAGAGUGGCGAUAGACAAUUUGCACUGCCUAAAUAUUUAAAAAAGGAAAAUAAUGAACAAACAAGCAACGGGAGGUAAGGGGAAAAAAAAUAAACUAGUGCAGUAAAAGAAUAACUUACAUCUGUCGGAGAGCAAUUUGUUUUCAUCAUCACAUGACUUCUCCAUGGAUAUAUAUUACAGGGAUAUGAGCAAUUUUUGACCAGUACUCUCUGUUGUCAAAUUCUAGGAGUGGUUUGAGCAAUGGGCAGUAGCGAAUAGAUAGUUUAGAGAGGGAGGAGGGCAUCCCUUUUACUGGAAGGGAUUGGAGAUUAGGGCAAUCCUCGAUGGUCAGCUUAGAGAGGGAGGAGGGCAGUGCUGAUUCGGGAACUGAUUGGAGAUUAGGGCAAUCAUUGAUGGUCAGUUUAGAGAUGGAGGAGGGCAGCCCUUGUUCCAGCAGUGACUGAAUUUGAGGUAAAUUACAAAUAUAUAGAGAUUCAAGAGAGGUGCGGCUUUUUAGAAGUUGGCUGCUUAAUGUUUUCAGAUUCCUUAUUCUAAGACUUUGAAUAGAGCAAGGCAACUCCCAAUUCUCACCACCAACAAUCUCUUCAUCACUGUCAUUGUGGUAGAUGUACAACACUCUGAGAGAGAGGAGUCUCUGCAGACGCCACUGGCUCCUUUCGUCCGUUCACCAGUUUCUCACAAUAGAUGAUCUCAAGGAGUUGUAAAUUGACGGGCAAUCCUCUAUCAGGAAAGGACUCUAUUUCUGGACAACUAGACAGCUGCAGUUUCUUAAGAGAGGGAAGGAGUUCCUGCAUACGUUCUGGCAGCCGCUUCAGCUUUUUGCAAUCGUGGAUGUCCAAUGACGUCAUCUGGGUCCCACAUGCCACCGAAAGUAGUAUUUCAAGAUUCUCACACCAGCUAAUAUCGAGUGUUUCAGUCCCAUUAGGAAUCAAAAACCUAGUAAGGUUUUGCAACUCAGUAUCCACAAAUUGCGUGCUCUUAGAACCAACUCAGGUGAUGAUAUAGAAUCACAUUCAUCCAGUCGCUAUUCCUCCAGAAACAUGUUAGAAUUCAUCUUACUACUAUCUGGUGCCUCCAAUUUCAAUUUCUGGCAACUCUCUAUCCUUAUUUUCUUCAAAGUACUCGGCAGAGUGCUAGUAGGCAAGGAGGUAAGAGAGUUGCAAUGACUAAUAUCUAACUCCUCAAUCUGCUUCAUUCCAUCAAGUUGGGAUGUAAACAGUUCAGCUUCAUCGAAGACAACUCCAGCCUUACGAGAACCAACAACUUCAAACCUUUUUAGACUUGACAGUUGGAUGGGUGUCUCCAAAUUGAGUUCAGGACAUCCUGUAAUUCUCAAUUUUGCUAGAGAACAAAGAUUCUCUGGGAACUUCCCCAACAACUUGGGGCAAUCUUUAAUGGAAAGUUUCCGAAGUGCGGAAACUCUCCGUUCCCUAGUACGUGCCACUGCUUCCACUCAGGAAUCUCUGCAAAUUCAAGCUCCUCAAGAGAGUUAAAAGGUUUUUUGGAGGGCGGACUACCAUAGAAUUCUACCGCCACCUCUGUUAUUCGAUGCAUCCCUCUAAUGGAAAGGAAUUUCAAACAAGGAAGUUGUCCUAGUGCUGGCAAGGAAAAACAAUCCUUGCAGUUGCUAAGAGACAAUUGUACUAGCAGCUUAAGAAACGAAUGAUCAGCUAACCAAUUUGGAAAUUGCAUCCCUCUAUAUCCGGAGAUUUGGAGUUCUUUUAUGUUUGUGUGUGGGCGUAGCUCAUCAAGUAUGUCUCUUUCAGUUUGAGAAUUGUCAGCAUCACGUGCAAUCCAUUCCAACGACAACUUCUCAACAUGAUUCAUCCCCUUCAUGUUUGCCUUCUGAGCUUCCCUUCUAUCAACCACAUUUUGCAACACUAGAAUUGAUAGAGAUCCAUACAAGUUAUGUAGCUCACCCAAAUCUUCCAUUCUCCAACCACAGGAGCCACCUAAAAGAAACUUGGCUCCAACUAUCACUUGUAGGCAUUUCAACUUGCUCAGAUGUAGCGGCAUCUUCAAGCGAGAAGUGUUGCUUAUGUCAGGGUGCCGCAAGUUGAUUAGCUUUUCCAUCUGCAGCGGUAACUCCUCAAGAUAUGUACAAGAUUACAAGAGAAGUGUCUCCAAGCUAUACAAUGCACAGAUAGAAUCGGGCAACUUUUUAAUCUCCGUCUGAGAAAGGUCCAACAAUCUCAGGAGCUUUAAUUUGAUAAACAAGUCAUUUGGCAGCUCCACAAUCGCAUAAUGUGACAAUGAUAAGGCCCUUAAGGAUCUUAGACUUGGCAGUAUGUUAUGCAACACCCUCUUGCUUAGCCUAGGGGGAAAAGGCGCUGGAUUUUUAUUGGAAGCAGUGUCCUCAGCUGCUCUGACUUAGAGAGCGGUUUCAAUUUCUCAAAGUCACCACCUAGUCCCAUUGGAUACGACAUAUGCCGACUUUGUUCCAACAUAUGAGAUCCUUGGCACUCUUCCAACCUGACACAAAGUUUUGAAGAUGCAAUUUGGGCCAAAUCAUUGACAAGAUCAUGCAUUAAGAAUUUCCUUCCAUCUCUUUCAGAAGACUCUGGGACCCUUUCGAACAACGAUCUUGAUCUCAACUCGUUAAAGUAUUGAUUACCAGAAUGCAACUUCUGUACAAGACCAUUAGCAAUCCACAGGUGAAUAACUUGCUCUUUGCAAAAUUGAUAAUCUUUGGGAUAUAUAGCACAAUAAGCAAAACAUUGCUUCAAAUGUGCAGGAAGAUCAUUGUAGCUCAACAUCAACGCUGGUAAUAUACCAUUCAAAUUCUGCUCCCAUAUUUCACUUCUUAAAAUCUCUUUCCACUCAUCCACCUCAGAUUUGGAGCAUAAAAUACCAGCAAUUGCCUUUAGAGCUAAAGGCAAUCCUUUGCACUUGUCUGCAAUUUGUUUUCCAACCUCCUCAAGUUCUGGAUGCUCCUCGGGAUCCCUAUUUUUUAGAGAAUGUUGUUUGAAUAAAGCCCAAGAGACUUCACUAGACAGAGUCCCCACGUUGAUUGCCCCACUAUCCAUCAUCCGGGCAACAUUCUCCUUACGGGUAGUUACAAUGAUCUUACUUCCCAUAGCUCCUUCUACAAAAAGAUUUCUCAAGUCAUCCCACUCGUUACAGUCAUCAUUCCACAAGUCAUCAAGGACAACAAGAAAUCUUUUUCCCUUUAGGCUUUCCUUCAAUUUUACCUCUAGCUUAUUGAGAUUGUUGUCAUCCUUUAAGUCAAAUGAUCCAAUUUCUUGAAGUAACCCUUUAAUGCCUCAGAAACACAAAACCAAGCUUUCAAGCCAAAAUGAUCUUUCACCUUUUUAUCAUUGUAAACAAUUUUAGCAAGUGUUGUCUUGCCCAUGCCCCCCAUUCCAACAAUAGGGACAACAGUCAAUUUUUUUUCACUUGCCUCCUUAGACACUAAAUAGUCAAUCAAUCGCUCUUUUUCAAACAUUCUACCAAGGAUUUUAGAUUCAUUGACCAAAGAAGUUGAAGGUGUUCUAGUUUCUAGUUUCUUACCCAAAUCUAAAUGCUUCUGUAAGCCAAGGCGACCGAUUUGCUUUUCCAACACCUCCAAUUUUUUAAUGGUGUCUUCCAACUUCUCUUCUAUGUAAAGAAAAUAAUCAUCACUCAAGCUCAAGUUGAGGUCACUUACUUGCUGGUUACUUGUUUCUGCAAGAUUUCGAAGUCCACCUUGAGCCCCAAAGCCUCAUAAUUGACUUCUUCCAAGAGGUUUUCAGCGCCGUCCAUAGCACGCUGAAGCUUAUUCAACCACUUCCUCACGAGUGGAUUUGAUGUCUGCUUAUUCUCUGCAUCACUUAGCACAAUCUGAAGACCAAGCAAAAUGUCCUCCAACUUCUCUAAAAGCCCAUCAUCAUAAUGCUUAUGCUUCUGAAACAUGUUGAGAAGAUCACCAUGAGGAGCAAGCCUAUCGAAGAGAACAUUCAAAGCUGAAGAGAGAAAUGCACCACCAACUGCUAAGCCAAUCUCCAUUUCUGAAAUCUACAAAGCAAA